AAAAAAGACUCCGAAUUCAAUUGACUGUGAUAGACCUUCAUAACCGUUUGCCCUAAAUGUUCAAAGUAUGGUUGGUAGAAUGGUAGAAACUUAUGUCUACUCAUAUAUUUCCAGUAGCUAGUCCAAAUAGAUGUUGGUUUAUCAAGGUUCCAUGAAAACAUGAUGCAGACAAUACACUAGGAUCAUUUUAUUUCUUCUAUCUAUCACCGAUUCAUCAUGAGGUAGCACACCAUAAAGACUUGCAAAAAAAAUAUAAACACAAAGACACACAUAUGCGCGAGAUCUAUUAAGCAGUGACGGCGAUCUUCAUGCCUUGCUGGCAGUGACCCGGACGGCUGCAGAUGAAGAACGCUUUGCCUCCGCGGACGAGCUGGAUGUGGUCAUUGCCGGAGGUGUAGGUCCUCGACGGGCCCGAGACCCUGCAUGAGUUGUAGUCGCCUUCUCCCACCUGCACCACGUUGUGCAUACUCGGGUUGUACUUGAACACUGCGUGCAUUAGUUAAAACAAGAAUACAGAUCAGAACACAAUAUAUACAUCGAGAACAACCAAUCACUUGAUCUUUAGAGUUCUCACCAAGCACGUCGCCGGACUGGAUGUGCUUGCCACGCUCCCAUCCGGAGACGCCGAAGCUCCAUCCCUUGUUGUCACCAACGGUCCACUCCUUGGCAUGGACGACGGUGGUUGCGUAGCAAACGGCUAGAAGCAGCACCAAAAGGGUGGGUACCAUGGUUCCCCGUGCCAUCGAUGGUGUUGCUCUUGACUUCUUGUUGCUACCGAAGAUCAGAAGAACCAAAAAUAAUAAUGAAAUAGUGGUCGGUUCCUCAAGUGAUGGCUUGCGUUCAAUCUCCUUCUCAUAUGAUAUAUAUAGGUGAUCAGCUAAAAUCAUUGUUUUAAUGUGCUCAAAUAAUGAGAAUCUUGCCUUAAAUGAGACAAAUCAACAAUUGUGAUAUGCAACAUUAGGUAGUAUAUGCUACCAAAUCCUCCAACUUAUAUAAUCUGAUCUUGGAUUAAUGGAAAUGAACGAGGAUGCAUUUAUUUCCUACUUUCAACAUUUAGUAAAUAUUUCUUUUUCCUGGAUGCUUUAGUUGUAUAUCAGAUAUUUAUAGAUACUAGUAUUAGAUGAUAUAAUUGUAAUAAGAAAAUUUCAAAAUACAAAAUUAUUUUUUAUAAGGAGAAGUCCCUAAUAUUGACUUUUCAACCAUAGCUGCUAAAGCGAUUGGAGGCCAUGAUUUGCGAUUGUUUAGUCUCAAAUAAUUUGAAAUAGACAGGAAUAUUUUUAAAGGGAGUUUAAAUGAAUUUCAGAAGUUGUAAAAUUUAAUGCAUUAUGUUCAUAUAAGAAUUUUAGGCUAGGUUAAUUUGGAACAAUUGAAAAAGAAAAGAGCCCCAAUUGGUUAACGAAGCAGUAAAGCUGGCGAGAUCCAGAAGGAUCAAAUUGAGAGGAAAAUUUGUGAGACUUACCAAGAACUUGUAGCCACUUGGGACGGAGACAAUGACCUCAAAAGACGCCCUCCACGAAAACUCUGCAACUACUCCUGAUCAACGAAAUUAGCCCUAAACUAACCAUCCCGGCACAAACUGGAAUGACCUACUGAUAACUCACAAGUAUAGGGGAUCGUGAUAGUCUUCAAGGAUAGUGUUUUACCCAAAUUUAUUGAUUCGACACAAGGGGAGCCAAAGAAUAUUUAUUAGCCUUAGCAGUUGAGUUGUCAAUUCAACCACACCUGGGAAAUUAUAUUUCUGCAGCAAAGUGUUUAGUAACACAGUAGUUUGAUAUUUUUGAUAGUAGUUGUAAGAGUAGCAAUAGUAACAGUAACCGUAACAAUAGUAGUUUGUGAUGAUUUUAAGAACAUGAGCAAUCACUGGUACAUUGAGGUGCUAUACAAACGGUUUUAACCCCUUUUCGCGACGACGUUUGGAACCGUCACCUAGUGAGUGUGGACGAUUAGGGGGUCCUUCCCACACGACCCAGAAAUCAUCGGGGAUAUGCCCUCCUGGCACACACGCUCGACAAAAUGAGGUCAUGUGCGACCGGCGAGCGAGCAAAUACGGUUAUACGUACAGUAAUGCUAAAAAAUAAUUAUACAGGCGAAAUCAUUUCCGGUCGUAAGUACAUCCCACACAGUCAGUCCCUGCGACACGUUCCGUUCAUAUAUACAUCCCACACAGUCGCUGCAAGGAAAACGUUUCUGUUCGUAGGUACAUCACACACAAUUUUACCCGUUAAAUCGUUUGUGAUAGCGUUUCCAUCGCACAAAAUACUAAAAAAAUUAUCAUUUGCAUUAUUGAAUGCAUCACACACGGUGCGUAGAAGAAACUGUGUGGCAAAGACUGCCCAUCACACACAGUUUUUAUGCGGUAACGUUUGCGCAAGGUGGCCUAACUCAAACAGUUUUGAAGAGAAUGUCGUGUGUGAUUGUUCAUCGAUCCAACACAGGUUAUUCCUAGAAAUUUUGUGCGUUGCCUUAAGUCAUCGGCCACGGUAUUUUCUCAAUAACCAUUUGCAAUAGCAAGAACCAAUUAGCAGGAUAAUUUCCCUAUUAUUAAUAAUCCAUUUAUUAAUCUAAUUGACAUUCAUAUUAAACACAUAAUAUAUUUCAUUCCCAUAUUACGGAAGCAUGAUUGUAUAAUUGAAAUACAUCAGAGUACAACAUGAUAUAGCUUCAGCACUCAGCUACCCCAUUACACAAUUGCACCAGCACCAAGUUUCACAUGACCUUUUGAAAUUAGCAUCUUAGACGAUACAUAGAUAGAUGCAUCUUAUCGGGAAAACUGCUGAAGCGGAAGGCGAAUAUUAAGCCUUCAUUGAUGUUGAAGGUCUUUGCAAAUUUAGGCCAGUGCCUGUGGAUGAUUGACCAUCCAUCCUUCGUCCUCUUCAGGAACACUUCAAUAUUGAACCAUGGGUGUUGUAUGAAAACCUUCCUCGCCUCCUGACCAUAGAGGUGGUUUGAGAGGUAAUCAUUAGUGAACUGCUUUGGAAAGGCCUGAAAACAAGGAUGUGCAUAAAUAUCUUCUCUAUAUUGGAAAUGGGGCAAAGGAAUAAAAAAAGGCAAGAUAUAAUAGUUAGUACCAUCUUGUAGUGAACUGAUGUCUUCUUCAUUGUACAGACAAAGAUCUUGUUGUUUUUUGUCGCCAAUUUCUUUAUCCUAACAAUCUUUCUGAGUUUCUUGACUUGAUUGAUAUUAAUGGACAACUCAUUUCCCCAUAUGCAAAAAGGGUCGAAUAGUGGGUCAAAACCUCUGACAGCAGGACCUACAUGUGCAAAACCAAAUUGUUAAAAACCUAAGUAUUAGAAUGGUUCAUGCAGUUGCACAAUAAUGUGUUAUUAGACAACGGACCAUGCACGUGCUAACCUAUAUUGUAAACCUCAGUGCUUCCCAUUGUUUCCCUGCAACACAUAUAAGAUAGUUAGUCAUCAGGUUAAGUAAGGGUUCGCAUGCUAUCAGUAAAAUAUGUUGAUGAAAAAUAAGCACAUUGCAGAUUCAUCAGAUUAAUUCAAGCCACAUGAAAACCCAUUUAUCCAAACCAAGCAUUAUUAAGAACUAGGAAAUAUAGCACUUGUAUAUGUUUAUUAUGUAUUAAGUGUAGCUAUUUUUGAUUUAUUCCUCACAUGCACAACAAUACAAAAUUCCACUCACGACAAUUGGACAUCACAUUGUAGAAUUGAACCAAGCAGUUAACUAAACACCAAAGCAAAUGAACCCAACAUUAACUGAGCACCACAUUGCACAAUAUAACAUACUCCUAAUAAAAGAUCAGACAGUUAAUAGAACCAAGCAUGCUUAACAACUUGGAAAUAUAGCAAUUGUAUUUGUUUAUCAUGUAUUUAGUACAGCCAAAUUCGAUUUACUUCUCACAUGGUAUACAAUAACAGAAUGCACCCACAACUAUUGAACAUCGCAUUGCAGAAUUGAACCAAACAGUUAACUAAACACCACAACACAAAUGAACCAAACGUUAACUGAGCACCACAUUGCACAAUGUAUAACCAAACCAAGCAUGCUUGACAAAUUGGAAAUAUUGCAAUUGUAUUUGUUUCUCAUGUAUUUAGUACAGCCAAAUUCGAUUUACUUCUCACAUGGUAUAUAAUAACAGAAUGCACCCACAACUAUUGAACAUCGCAUUGCAGAAUUGAACCAAACAGUUAACUAAACGCCACAACACAAAUGAACCAAACGUUAACUGAGCACCACAUUGCACAAUGUAUAACCAAACCAAGCAUGCUUGACAACUUGGAAAUAUAGCAAUUGUCUUCGUUUCUCAUGUAUUUUGUAAACAUAAAUUUGAUUUAUUUCUCACAUGGAAGACAAUACAAAAUUGCAGCCUCAAGAAUUGAACAUCACAUUUAUAGAACUGAACCAAACAGUUACCUGAAGACGACAACUAAUUAAUCAAACAUUUAAUAAGUGAGCACCACACUGCACGACAUAUAGAACAUAUACACAGGAGCAACAGAUUGCAUGGUAAAAUUAGAUAGCACAAUUCACUAAAAUUUGUUAAGGAAAGGCAGGAGCAGCACACGCAACGGGUAAACUAAUCAUGCUUAAUUGGCAUAGCUAGCAAAUGGCAAGGUGCUCCUCCAAGAUCUGGGGGUCGGCACAAAUGGUAGCCAUCACGACCUCAUCCGCUCGUGCGGCCACGAUUUUGCUUCUCCGCUGCCAAAUGCUCCUUGAGCUCCUGGCUAUACUGCAUGCACCAUGGCUUGGGGAGGCGCUUAUUUGGUGGAUGGGUCGGUGAUUUGGGUGGAAGGUAUCACGCUGCUGUCGGGGCAUGUGGGCUGGGGAAGGAGGAGGAGGAUGGGGGUCUGGUGUGGAUUACCUGCCUAGAUAGACGAGGCCGAGCAACAUGAAGGAGGGUCGCCGGCGACGGGGGCGGUGCUGCAAGCAAGGAGUGAAAGUUUCAACUUGGAAAGGAAGGCGAAAACAUGGGAAAUGUGGCUUUUGGUAAGGGGAAGGGGGCGGAGAGGUAGAUAUUUCCGCGGAAGCCGAAAAUUUGGAAUCGCUUCAGCGAAAAACUGGCGCGCAAAGUGUCAUCAGACACGGUCCCCUAUUCAGAACUGUGUAUGAUAUGUCAACAUCACAAACGGUUCAGAUAGCUUAACCCGUGUGCGAUGAGUUCGAACGUCAAAUUUUUUGGUUCCAAUUUCCCUGGUUACAGUGCUCAUCCACGUCAUUGCAUAAUUUGGGUACACAAAGGAGACUACAGCACACCCACACUUCUUAAUCAAGCAAUUGCAGCAAUUAAAUAGAGCUAGCUGGCCUAAACAUUACUCUAACAAAUUAAAGACCGGUGCUCUUAAUUAAACAAAACAAAGAGUACUACUACGGCUGGUGCUCGUCGAUCUCCACCGCCUCCUCCAUGUCCAGAUCGCGCCCGACGAUCUCCUGGGGAAGGAGCUCCAUGUCAUCCAUCGCACCAUAUCCGGCAAGCAUCUCGCCAUCUGCGUCCGCCAUCUCUUUGGAAAAGGCCGCCACGAGCUGGGCAUGGGCGGCCGCGAUCUGGGCUUGAAUGGGCUCCGUCGUUGCAAGGUAUGCGUCAGAGGAACGGACGGCUGCUCGAACGCUCUCGGUGAUUGCCAACUCUUCGGCCGUGGGUUGCCGACCGUUGUCGGAGAAGCUUCAUUCGAUUUGUGCGGUGACCGCCAUGAGCUGGGCGUGGGCGGCCUCGACAUGGUCGUGGGCGGUCUCCAUCAGGGGUAAGGCUGCCACUAUGGAACGGACAGCUGCUGUGCUGCUCUCGCCAACUGCUAUCCCCGAGGCAGAUGUUGCUGCCGCCACCUGAGAAGCAACAACAACCAUUUGGGCUGCCAUGACCGCCCGGUCGCAGAUUGCGGUCGCGCUCAUGCACCUUGUUAGCACGCGCAUGGCGGCUGCGGCCGCACUCUCGCCAGAGUGGGCCGCCGAAGUUGCCCUCACGACACGGGCCCACGUCCCCAUCUUUCACCGGCGACGAUUGAACAAUGAAAUGAUAUUUGGGGAGCGAGCUAGUGUGCUUGAGAUGCCAGCUGUGGACUGUAUCCGUGCAUCUUCUCGCGUAAGCCAUAGGCGUACUAUACACCAUGCUCCAUGAUAUUUUGUACUGCAUCUCACACGGUUGGUGAUAAUAAACUGUGUGGGAUCUACUUGAUUUUUAAUUUUGAUUUGAAUUACAUAAUGGGGUCACAGCGGCAAUGGACGGUGUUUGAAUUGCUAGACCUUUUAUCUGCAGUGAACAUGCAACUAUAUGUGUGUCGUAAAAAAAUUGGAAUUGUUCAGGGUUCCUUUGGACAUUUUUAUACGAUAACUUGGUUUUCUAGGCAUUUCAGGUGCACAAUUCAAAAUUAAACCACAUGAUCCAGUCCAUAAAAACGGGUUGCAAAAUCAAAUGUUUGUCCUUGGUUGCAAGCUUAGGUCACAUGCAAGAAAUGAGAAUGAAUGUCAAACACCUUGACACUGUCGCUCAGCCGCUAACAUUGAGAUACAUGCUUUUAACAUUCUAGUAAAUCGAAAACUCGUCUGAAAUUCCUGAAACUUGACAUGAUAUCAUGGAACGGAAGCGACAUGCUGUGGUAAAAAUAUUGCCCCAUUUGGGGCAGGUGUGGGUAUAAGCUUCUCGCAAACCAGAGCUUCUCUCACAACAAGCCUGAUGGUUUCAGUACGGUACAUGCCACCUUGGGGAACGAAAUGAUAUAUGUUGCCUCUUCUUACUUCAAAAUGUUUCUCGUGUCAACAUAGAACAACACGAGUGUUGUGUCAAUUUUUGGGAUUUUUUGGGGUUUGUUUUGACAUUUUUAUGCAUUAAUUGUGUUUUCAAUGCAUUUAUGAGCAUAAUUCAAAUUUGAACUACAUGCACAUGCACUAAUGCAUAGAAAUUGGUUGAAAAUUCAAAUCUGUGUCCUUGGUUGCAUGCUUAGGUCCCAUGCAAGAAAUGGGAAUGAAUGUCAAACACCCUGCCACCAUCACUCGGCCACAAACAUUGAGAUUCCUGGUUCUUAAAUUCUAGUAAAUCAAAACUCGUCUGAAAUUCAUGAAACUUGGCAUGCUAUCAUGGAGCGGCAUCAACAUGCCGUGGUCAAAAUAUUAUCCCAUUAAUAUUAUCCCAUUUGGGGCAGGUUUGGGGAUAUGCUUAUCACAAACCAAAGGCUCUCACAACAAGCCUGAUGGUUUCGGUAGGGUACGUCCCACCUUUGGGGACGAAACGAUAUCCGCUGCCUCUUAUUUCUUUCAAAAUUUUUCUAGUGUCAACAUAGAACAAUAGGAGUGUUGUGUCAAUUUUUGGGAUUCUCCGAGGUUCGUUUGGACAUUUUUAUGCAUUAAUUGUGUUUUCAAUGCAUUUAUGAGCACAAUUCAAAUUUGAACUACGUGCACAUGCUCUAAUGCAUAUAAAUUGGUUGAAAAUCAAAUUUGUGUCCUUGGUUGCAUACUUAGGUCCCAUGCAAGAAAUGGGAAUGAAUGUCAAACACCUUGCCACCGUCACUCGGCCGCAAACAUUGAGAUUCCUGGUUUUAAAUUCUAGUAAAUCCAAAACUCGUCUGAAAUUCAUGAAACUUGGCAUGCUAUCAUGGAGCGGCAUCAACAUGUCGUGGUAAAAAUAUUGUCCCAUUUGGGUCAGGUUUGGGGAUAUGCUUCUCACAAACCAAAGGUUCUCACAACAAGCCUGAUGGUUUUAGUAGGGAAUGUCCCACCUUUGGGGACGAAACGAUAUCCGCUGCCUCUUAUUGCUUUCAAAAUUUUUCUAGUGUCAACAUAGAACAAUAGGAGCGUUGUGUCAAUUUUUGGGAUUUUUCGGGGUUCGUUAGGACAUUUUUAUGCAUUAAUUGAGUUUUUGAUGCAUUUAUGUGCAUAAUUCAAAUUUGAACUACAUGCACAUUCUCUAAUGCAUAUAAAUUGGUUGAAAUUUCAAAUUUGUGUCCUUGGUUGCAUGCUUAGGUCCCAUGCAAGAAAUGAGAAUGAAUGUCAAACACCCUGCCACCGUCACUCGGCCGCAAACAUUGAGAUUCCUAGUUUCUUAAUUCUAGUAAAUCCAAAACUCGUCUCAAAUUCAUGAAACUUGGCAUGCAAUCAUGGAGCGGCAUCAACAUGCCGUGGUAAUUUUUUUGUCCCAUUUGGGGCAGGUCUGGGUAUAAGCUUCUCACAAACCAGAGCUUCUCACAACGAGCUUGAUGGUUUCGGUAGGGAAUGUCCCACCUUUGGGGACGAAAUGAUAUCAGCUGCCUCUUAUUGAUUUCAAAUUUUUUCUAGUGUCAACAUAGAACACCAGGAGUGUUGUGUCAAUUUUUGGGAUUUUUCGGGGUUCGUUUGGACAUUUUUAUGCAUUCAUUGAGUUUUCGAUGCAUUUAUGUGCAUAAUUCAAAUUUGAGCACAUGCUCUAAUGCAUAUAAAUUGGUUGAAAAUUCAAAUAUGUGUCCUUGAUUGCAUGCUUAGGUCUUAUGCAAGAAAUGGGAAUGAAUGUCAAACACCCUGCCACCGUCACUCGGCCGCAAACAUUGAGAUUCCUGGUCUUUAAAUUCUAGUAAAUCCAAAACUUGUCUGAAAUUCAUGAAACAUGGCAUGCUAUCAUGGAGCGGCAUCGACAUGCCGUGGUAAAUUUUUUGUCCCAUUUGGAGCAGGUUUGGGUGUAAGCUUCUCACAAACCAGAGUUUCUCACAACAAGCCUAAUGGUUUUGGUAGGGAACAUCCCACCUUCGGGGACGAAAUGAUAUCCGCUGCCUCUUAUUGCUUUCAAAAUUUUUAUAGUGUCAACAUAGAACAACAGGAGUGUUGUGUUAAAUUUUUGCAAUUUUUUGGGGUUCGUUUGGACAUUUUUAUACAUUAACUGGGUUUUGUAGGCAUUUUAUGUGCAUAAUUCAAGUUUGAACUAUGUCGGGGGGAUGGACCCCGGGCAGGCAAGGAAACUCGGAUCCUCUUCAAAAACAGCGGGGCUGGCACCGCCCCUCAAAGCCGCCACGCGUUUGGCCGGGUCGCUCGACCCGGCCAAGCCCCGCAUGCCGACCAGACUCACCGACCCGACAAGACACGUCGACUCGGCCCCAACGAUGUCACGACCGGGUUUUCCGGGUAAUAAAUUUCCAGAAAAGACCGUCGUGCUCAUCAGCCCCAGGAUUACUGUUAGCUGAUGAGGCUCCAACUUGAUACAGAAACUCCAAGCAAAAAUACAAAAUAUGUAGUACAAGACCAUUUUGGCCUGUGGGUACAACAAAUGGUUUCUAGUGGUGGAUGGCGGAAGCGGGUUGUGAAGCAUCAGUGUCCAUGGGACUCCAUUUCCCACGGGAACAGCUGACCAGGUUAAUUCCUAUCUUCGCGAGGCUGCUAUCUCCAAGUGUGGGUUCCGAGGCUGGCAUCGCGUCGCUCCUCUCCGCGCAAGAAAAAUCUGGCCAAGACAAUAGCCAGGGACAAGCCAGUGAGUACUUUGAAUGUACUCGCAAACAUUAAGAACGCAGGUAUAAUAUAACGAUGAUGUGUUGAAAAAUAUUUUAUGCUCAUGACGUCAGUCACAAAAGAUAAAUAACUCUCGGAUGCGUGCAAGCAAGUUAUUUAUAAAAUUGCAAUAACAUGGUAGUAUAAAAACUUAUGAAACAAAUAACAAGUAAUGCCACAGUCGGGCGUCUUAGCGACACCACACAAAGGGCUUUAAAAGAAAUGCCUCAGUCGGGCGUCUAAGCGACACCACAUAAAGGGCUUUAAAAGAAAUGCCACAGUCGGGCGUCUGAGCGACGCCACAUAAAGGGCUUUAAAAGAAAUGCCACAGUCGGGCGUCUGAGCGACACCACAUAAAGGGCUUUAAAAGAAAUGCCACAGUUGGGCGUCUGAGCGACGCCACAUAAAGGGCUUUAAAAGAAAUGCCACAGUCGAGCGUCUGAGCGACGCCACAUAAAGAGCUUUAAAAGAAAUGCCACAGUCGGGCGUCUGAGCGACGCCACAUAAAGGGCUUUAAAAGAAACAAUCAUAGCGAAUAUCCCGGAGGUAGAACCAUCCCAGAGAUAUUCGGUAAUAACAAUAAUAUCACGGGUUAGUCAACAAUAAUAAUAAUCAUAGUUAUCACAAGUCACAAGUGGUAAUUCCAUUUCUGGAUUAACAGUUUCACCUCCGCAGACCGACACUAAGACCGACACUUGACCCAUCCCAGACUGUACUCCUUAACCAUGGACACGGUUAUUCGAAUAGGUUUAUUCUCUGCAGAGGGUGUACUCUUUACCCACGAGUAACGGAUUUCUUUAGUCCAGCAGGACUAAUUCCGUCUACGGUCUUUUUGUUGAAAACACACCAAACUUGCACACACCAGCUUAUCACACAUGUGUCUGGAAUCACCCACGGCACCUGUUAAGCAAACUCUAAGUGGGGAGGCUACAACCUCGCGUAGCAUGGGAUCAAAUUUAUAUCGCGCGCUCUAAGGGGUGGCCUCCCCUCUCGGUCCCAACCGGAAACACCCAUGCCCACGGACCAGGUGGCCUGCCUACCAGUUACAACCAGUAUCUUCCACCAUGGCCUCUCUGUACGGUGUGUGCUAGAAAGAGGUUGACAACUUACUGAACCGUACUCUACUUGCUGUAGAGACGAGUGGUAGUACGAAACAAGUAUGGGGGUUACUGGAACAAGACUCGAUCUACGGUCGACUCAGGAGGUUCAAGUAUUCCCUGCAUGAUUAGUAUAACAAAUAUAUUUCAUCAAACAGAGUCACCAUACCAGACCAAACCGUCCCGACGGAGACCGGCGACAAACUCAUACCUACCAAAGGCAGAGGUUUUCCCGGUUUCCUGCCGGUAUGCAUGUAAAGCUCAUGAGGGUGAUUAUCAUUACAAGUGUGUCCAUUACCAACAGCAUGGAAAUCAAUAACAUGCACCCAUGCAUAUGAUCAUAUCACAUGAAAUAACAAGUCCUUCGAAAUGCAGUGGUGUUAUAAAUGCAUCAACGAUCACUCCAAAAUUAUUAUGCCGGGGUUCAGAAUGCUUGCCUUCAAUGUGUGGAAAGGCAGGGUGCUCUCCAAACUUUUGAAAGUUUCUUCUCUCUCCCAAAAAUCCUAUUUGAAAAUAUAUUUGAAUCAACACACAUUUCAAAAACAGAACCAAAAAGUUGUUUGAAUUUUUUUCAAAUAAAUCUUAAAAUAAACUAGAUCAAAUAUGAGGAAGGUAGGAAAAAGAAUCAACUCAUUUGGAGUUAUAUUUAAAAAGUUAUAGCCAGUCAAAAAUUUGGUCAAAAUCUGUUUUUAAAUAAAACAGAAAAAGAAAACGUUUCGGAGGGGAAUACGCUUUCGGAGCGGGGAAAGCGUACUAGGGAUAAUACGCCUUCACUUAAUCUCACGUGGACAGCGCGGGGUGUCGCUGACAGUGGGCCUGCCUGGCCCACUGGUCAGGUUUGACCAGUCCGCCCUCCUCCUUCUCCCUCUGUCCCGAGCGGAGGCGGGACUCCGGCGACCAACGCCGGCGAGCGGCGGCUCCUCGCGGCCUCUCGAGGGCGGGGAUGGAUCCGCGGAUCGAGGGCGAUCCUGCUGGUAGUCGCUGGGUUGGCGGGGACGGCGUAAGCUGUCGGCGGCGAGCUCCUCGGCGGAGGAAAGUUUCGGUGAAAAGUGGUUUUGUGGCGGCGAUGGCUCCCGAACCAAACUGAAUAGGGGGAUCUGUUCACGGGAGGGAGAGGAAGCUCCUGGUGUAGAGUUUAGGGAGGGGGAGGCCCUGGUGGCGCCGGAGUGAACGAGGCAGUGGCGGCGGCAGUGGUUGCCGGAGAUGAUGAAGGGGACCUCCCCGGGUCGAAUGCGAGGCAGGGGAGCGCCAUGGGGGUAGCAUGAGGUCGCGUGCGUGCUCAGAGGGGCUCGGGGUGUCCAUUUAUAGCACGCCAAGGUCGGUUCCGCGGCGGUGGGGAUAAGCUCUCCGGCGAACCGUUUCUCUGUAGCUAGGGCGACGUGGCGGCGACGAACGCUAGCGGACACCCGUGUGGAUGAGCUCGGGCUGUUCCGGGGCCAGGUGGCGAGCGGGCGAGGCUUGGGCGGCGCUGCCCGUGGCAGAGGCACACUGCCGACGCCGGAGUGCCGCCAAGAACGCCCUGGCGGCAGCGCUGUAGUGUGCCAGGGUGGUUUGGCGCGAUGCUGCGAGGCGGGGAGUGCGUGGCGAGGUGCUGCCGUGUGGGCCAAAGCCAGGGGGCCAGCGUGUCGGCUCGGGCGCGGCAUCGUGCAAUAUGCGCGCUCUGGGCGCGUCCAGUGCACGCACUGGGUGUGCUCGACGAAAUGCCAGAGCAUGCUACAGAGCUUGGUUGAGACUGGCAAUUAACAGACUUAGGUUAGGAGAAACGGGGAGUCUAGUGGACAUGCUGGUUUGAUCAGAGGUGCAAGUUCACAGUGCAAUGCCAAACUCAUGUCAAAACUGGUCAUGCUCUCCAGGUGUUUGACAAAAUGCCACAUGCACUUAGGCAGGUCUUGGGGUGGCCAGAAACCCUAGAUGGGGGUCUCUGUGGAUGAAAGAGAGGGUGGUGUGGUUAUUUGGACAAAAGGGGAGACUUGCUAGUGCAAGUUUUGAAAAACUACAUUUCUGGACAGGAGAUAUAUGACAUUAUUCCAUGAACCAAAAAUGAUCCAAAAGGUGCAUGCUCCUGGACUUAAGGGUUUAACAUGGAGGACUACAAGUAGGAGAAAUAAUCAAGGGCUAAAGAGCAAGCAAAAACAUGGUUGCUGUACAAACCAACAAGUUGGUCCAGAAUGAAGAUGAAGUUGAUUCACUCAAAUUUUUCAAAGAACAUAAUUAGGUUUUUGCACAAAGAGGAAUAAUAGGCUCCUACUGACGUCCCUUAAUUUUGGUAGAAGUUUUAAAGAAAAAUUUAAAUAGGUUGCUGUGUAAAAUGCACUCUGGACCAGAGAAGAAAAAUUGAGUGUAGGGCUCAGAAUAUUUCAUGAAUGAAAUAUAUUUUUGCAUAAAAGUGAUUUAAAAACAUCACAUGACAUCUCCAAAUUUUUAUGGGAAUUUUAAGUGAAUUUAUCAAAUGGUUGUAGUUCAAUUAAGGCCAUUUAACCUAGAAAAACCAUUUUCAAGAAAGUAAAGAUCAAGCAGCUUAAUUAUUUUAUUAGUUACACUGAUAAAAGGAAAGUUUUUCUUGAGAGGUUAAAACAAGUCCAACAACAUUUUUGAAAAGUUUUCUCUUUGGGAAAAACUCAUCAUAACAGGGAAGGAAAUGAUUUAAACAAAAAUCAAAAUGGAGCUCAAAAAUCCAAGUUUUAAAUCCUGGCAAAAAAAUUUAUUCCCUUAAAACAAGGCCAAAAUUUUGGGGUGUCACAAUACUAACCCCCUUAAGAAAAAUCUCGUCCUCGAGAUUUGUCAAAAGCGGUGUUAAGAAAAUAAUUACGCAAUAACGAUGUGGUCACAGUGAGAGGGUAAAAAGUGGUGAAAAACCACAGUGUGAAAAACUGGGGCUGCGCGGAAAAGUCUACGGUUCGGGACAAAACGGUUGAUUUCUAUGCUGGAUAUAAAUUUAGGAUAACUCCUAAAUUUAGAUAUACGCUGGUCGUACCCGAGAGUACAGUGCUCUCUCUGGCCGACAGGUGGACCCGGGGUCCACCGUCAGUCUCCUCUUCUUCUCCCUCUGGCCCUUUCUUCCUCCUCUCUCCCACGCGCUUCCUCCAUCGGCGACGCCUAGUGUGUAGGGCAUCUAGGCCGUACCGUGGUAGUGCGUGGCGUGCUAGCUACCGGUGCAGCAUGCACUCACCUCGCGGGCCAGCGUGCUGUCGGCACUGCUUGCGGAUUCGACUCCGAACACCGGCGAUCGGCGACGAGCGGCGUUGGUGGACUUCGCCCACCGUACACCGAGAUCGAGCUAUAAAAACGGCCGGGGUGCCUCUCUCUUCUUCCUCACCUCUGGCCUCACUUCUCCUCCUUCUUCUUUCUCCGUUACUGCUUACAGAAACUCGAGUGAGGCUCUAAUGGCGGAGACGAUGCCGGACUGGUUUGUGAUCCUGAUAUGCGGAGGGCUGGCGACGCUGCUGGGGCUCUCUGUGCUCCUGUGCGCGAUGAUCUUCGACGAGUAUCGUGAUGCUGCGGCUCGGGUGUUGGCUCUCCGCGGUGGUGGUGAUCAUGAGGAGUAGAAGGAGUGUGCCGGGUGCUAACUGUCGUAAGGGGUGAUUAGUUGGAUGUAAUGCCGUUGCAAAGUUUUGCAAACAGUGUAUGUGUCCGAAUGAUUAUGGUUGUGAGUCUGCUCAUGGUGCUGAGUGAAAUUAAAUAAUCCACGUCGUGAGAAAGUGUAGAUGUAGCAACUCAGGGAAAAGAAAAUCUCACUCCAGGGUUUCGCGAGGGAAAAACAGUUAAUUUAAAGGAGCAUAAACCACAACAAAAGCUACACCCAUUAGUAGAAGCCAAAUAAUUUGACUCGUCGAACAAACUCAGGGUAUCACGCAUAAGUCACACACAUAAAUAUAUGCUGCAUAGAACAAAUACAGCAGUGACGUCUAAAAUGAAAAUGGUAACUGGGAGGGGUCCUGAUAAAAUGUCUCUGGCAAAGGGAUACACUCUUCUUCAAUCGGAGGCAGUGGAUUGACCAGUCGAUGUAUGCGUCUCUCCGUGUCGGGUCUCAGUGGUCUGCCGAUGGCAACCUGAGGAUUUAAAUCUGCGAGGCUCUGGAGAUAAUCCAUCACCCGCUGGUUUAAAUGCUCUUGAGCAAUGAUGUACUGGAUAAGAUUGGCCAGAACUGGGUCUCUCUCAAUACGCCCACCGGGAAAAGACGUUACUUCUCCGGGUGCUGCACGGCUCUGAAAGUAAUAAUAUCCUCGUUCGCGGGCAUAGGGUACUGCGGAUCGAAGACGAGCAAUCGCUUCUUUCGCAGCAGCUUCUAUGGCCAAGUGUGGGGUUGGCAUAGAUUUCCCCACGAAGGAAACUUCUAUUGGAUCUUGGUUGGGGUCUACAGGAGGAAUGUGUACCGCUGCCCAAUAUUCCGAGGUGGAUGGGGUGAUCCUUGAUUUGAACAGCUCGUACUGGGGUGGCUGGGUAGAACCCAUGGUACUGCGGGUAAAAUCCCACAAUAAUUUGACAAAGCUACCUGGGGUUGCAUCAGGGGUUCUCAGAUGAAUGCUGGGGUUCGGCAUGACAGGAAGAAGCAUGAGUGUUGUGCGCAAAGUGAGGGUUGCUGGGUAAGGUCACAAGGUGGCCUUUAUAUAGCAAUGGAGCCGGAUCGUUUUACCGUGGUGAAAGGUAAUAAAUUUGCCAGCUUGGCUCCAAAGGUCAGGUUCAGUGUCAGAGAUACACAUAUCUCAUAAAGAGAUGUGUUACUGUGGUUGUCGUCGGGCUGGUUUUGGUAGUUGUGCCCGGAAAAAUAUGCAGCUAUGCGCUGACCAAACAUGCAAGGCUAUUAUUAAAACAGAGGCACAAGGACAGGCUGCGUUAAUAUACGCGGUCGCAUGACCACAAAGCGAGGAUACAUUGAAACUUGGUACUACUCAUACGGCUCAGUCUACCUCGUUUAUGUCUAAACGGGCGUGCCUGGUGGAUGUCGAGGCUUCUCCACGUGUCUCUCUGCCGGGAUUAGUCGGAAAUGGCGGAGGAACUGCAGAUUCGGGGUAGUGAUGAUGACCAUCGCGGGGAUUGUUGGCCACAACCCCGUUGGAGUGUGCUCCCAAAAUGCGACGAAGCACUUCUGGGGUUAUCGCAGCACCUUGGCCGAUGGCUGGGGCAGAUCUCGGGGUCUCGAUCGGUUGUCCAAACAACACGACUGGGCUGUCGGUGUUGGGCUCGUUUUCUUCUCUCGCCGGGGCUCGACGAACCAGCUCUCCACGAGCUGCUAUUAGAUCAAUAGUGAUCUGGUCGAACAGUGCCUCUAGUGCACUUACAUAGCGCACUAGGUGCAACAAUGCGGGGUCCGUCUCGUGGUCUCCAUUGGUGACUUGGGGUGGUCUACCAUACCCUUCUCGUCUGGGGUAGUAGUGGAACGAGCGACAGUUAACUCUGGGCGACAAGUGCCUGAGAUGAACUAUAGCCUCUCGAGCGGCUAGCUGGAUAGCUUGUGGCUCAAAGGAAGUUGUUCUUCCGGUGAACCGGUAGGGGCGCUCGGGUGCUAGACUCCUACCGUAAAUGUGCACAGUGGCCCAGAAUUGGCGGUCUUCACCGCUCAUGGGUCCUUGAUACACAACAUAUUCUGGUGGCUCCUCUAACGCGUAGGCACGACGGGUGAGGUUUGCGAGGAUGGUCACAAAACCUCCAAGGUUGGUUGCUGUGGUUUCGUUGUACACUAUAGGUCCAGGCAUUGUGGCUCGGUUUGGGGUAGCGACUAUGUGUGCUGGUUUGGGGCUAGCGCGCCCCUUUUUAUAGGGAAAAGGGGACGGAAUCUUCCUUCGCACGCUUGCGAGAAAAGACUAUUUAGGGGCCGGUCACUGGCGCAUGAGUGACAGGUUAGGUUGAUAGGUUGGGCACCGACUGCCAAAAGUGUUGGGUCACUGUGUGGCUAUCUUGCACGAGAAGCUUGGCUGGGGUUUGGUUAAGGUCUGGUGGGUUGGUUUGCCUAGUUUAUUGACCUGGCUAAGAUAGGAUUAGCCAAUGGUCAGCCUGGCUCUGGUACCAAGCCUGUCACGACCGGGUUUUCCGGGUAAUAAAUUUCCAGAAAAGACCGUCGUGCUCAUCAGCCCCAGGAUUACUGUUAGCUGAUGAGGCUCCAACUUGAUACAGAAACUCCAAGCAAAAAUACAAAAUAUGUAGUACAAGACCAUUUUGGCCUGUGGGUACAACAAAUGGUUUCUAGUGGUGGAUGGCGGAAGCGGGUUGUGAAGCAUCAGUGUCUAUGGGACUCCAUUUCCCACGGGAACAGCUGACCAGGUUAAUUCCUAUCUUCGCGAGGCUGCUAUCUCCAAGUGUGGGUUCCGGGGCUGGCAUCGUGUCGCUCCUCUCCGCGCAAGAAAAAUCUGGCCAAGACAAUAGCCAGGGACAAGCCAGUGAGUACUUUGAAUGUACUCGCAAACAUUAAGAACGCAGGUAUAAUAUAACGAUGAUGUGUUGAAAAAUAUUUUAUGCUCAUGACGUCAGUCACAAAAGAUAAAUAACUCUCGGAUGCGUGCAAGCAAGUUAUUUAUAAAAUUGCAAUAACAUGGUAGUAUAAAAACUUAUGAAACAAAUAACAAGUAAUGCCACAGUCAGGCGUCUUAGCGACACCACACAAAGGGCUUUAAAAGAAAUGCCUCAGUCGGGCGUCUAAGCGACACCACAUAAAGGGCUUUAAAAGAAAUGCCACAGUCGGGCGUCUGAGCGACGCCACAUAAAGGGCUUUAAAAGAAAUGCCACAGUCGGGCGUCUGAGCGACACCACAUAAAGGGCUUUAAAAGAAAUGCCACAGUUGGGCGUCUGAGCGACGCCACAUAAAGGGCUUUAAAAGAAAUGCCACAGUCGAGCGUCUGAGCGACGCCACAUAAAGGGCUUUAAAAGAAAUGCCACAGUCGGGCGUCUGAGCAACGCCACAUAAAGGGCUUUAAAAGAAACAAUCAUAGCAAAUAUCCCGGAGGUAGAACCAUCCCAGAGAUAUUCGGUAAUAACAAUAAUAUCACGGGUUAGUCAACAAUAAUAAUAAUCAUAGUUAUCACAAGUCACAAGUGGUAAUUCCAUUUCUGGAUUAACAGUUUCACCUCUGCAGACCGACACUAAGACCGACACUUGACCCAUCCCAGACUGUACUCCUUAACCAUGGACACGGCUAUUCGAAUAGGUUUAUUCUCUGCAGAGGGUGUACUCUUUACCCACGAGUAACGGAUUUCUUUAGUCCAGCAGGACUAAUUCCGUCUACGGUCUUUUUGUUGAAAACACACCAAACUUGCACACACCAGCUUAUCACACAUGUGUCUGGAAUCACCCACGGCACCUGUUAAGCAAACUCUAAGUGGGGAGGCUACAACCUCGCGUAGCAUGGGAUCAAAUUUAUAUCGCACGCUCUAAGGGGUGGCCUCCCCUCUCGGUCCCAACCGGAAACACCCAUGCCCACGGACCAGGUGGCCUGCCUACCAGUUACAACCAGUAUCUUCUACCAUGGCCUCUCUGUACGGUGUGUGCUAGAAAGAGGUUGACAACUUACUGAACCGUACUCUACUUGCUGUAGAGACGAGUGGUAGUACGAAACAAGUAUGGGGGUUACUGGAACAAGACUCGAUCUACGGUCGACUCAGGAGGUUCAAGUAUUCCCUGCAUGAUUAGUAUAACAAAUAUAUUUCAUCAAACAGAGUCACCACUCAUAUCACCUUACCAUGCCAUACCAGACCGAACCGUCCCGACGGAGACUGGCGACAAACUCAUACCUACCAAAGGCAGAGGUUUUCCCGGUUUCCUGCCGGUAUGCAUGUAAAGCUCAUGAGGGUGAUUAUCAUUACAAGUGUGUCCAUUACCAACAGCAUGGAAAUCAAUAACAUGCACCCAUGCAUAUGAUCAUAUCACAUGAAAUAACAAGUCCUUCGAAAUGUGGUGGUGUUAUAAAUGCAUCAACGAUCACUCCAAAAUUAUUAUGCCGGGGUUCAGAAUGCUUGCCUUCAAUGUGUGGAAAGGCAGGGUGCUCUCCAAACUUUUGAAAGUUUCUUCUCUCUCCCAAAAAUCCUAUUUGAAAAUAUAUUUGAAUUAACACACAUUUCAAAAACAGAACCAAAAAGUUGUUUGAAUUUUUUUAAAAUAAAUCUUAAAAUAAACUAGAUCAAAUAUGAGGAAGGUAGGAAAAAGAAUCAACUCAUUUGGAGUUAUAUUUAAAAAGUUAUAGCCAGUCAAAAAUUUGGUCAAAAUCUGUUUUUAAAUAAAACAGAAAAAGAAAACGUUUCGGAGGGGAAUACGCUUUCGGAGCGGGGAAAGCGUACUAGGGAUAAUACGCCUUCACUUAAUCUCACGUGGACAGCGCGGGGUGUCGCUGACAGUGGGCCUGCCUGGCCCACUGGUCAGGUUUGACCAGUCCGCCCUCCUCCUUCUCCCUCUGUCCCGAGCGGAGGCGGGACUCCGGCGACCAACGCCGGCGAGCGGCGGCUCCUCGCGGCCUCUGGAGGGCGGGGAUGGAUCCGUGGAUCGAGGGCAAUCCUGCUGGUAGUCGCUGGGUCGGCGGGGACGGCGUAAGCUGUCGGCGGCGAGCUCCUCGGCGGAGGAAAGUUUCGGUGAAAAGUGGUUUUGUGGCGGCGAUGGCUCCCGAACCAAAUUGAAUAGGGGGAUCUGUUCACGGGAGGGAGAGGAAGCUCCUGGUGUAGAGUUUAGGGAGGGGGAGGCCCUGGUGGCGCCGGAGUGAACGAGGCAGUGGCGGCGGCAGUGGUUGCCGGAGAUGAUGAAGGGGACCUCCCCGGGUCGAAUGCGAGGCAGGGGAGCGCCAUGGGGGUAGCAUGAGGUCGCGUGCGUGCUCAGAGGGGCUCGGGGUGUCCAUUUAUAGCACGCCAAGGUCGGUUCCACGGCGGUGGGGAUAAGCUCUCCGGCGAACCGUUUCUCUGUAGCUAGGGCGACGUGGCGGCGACGAACGCUAGCGGACACCCGUGUGGAUGAGCUCGGGCUGUUCCGGGGCCAGGUGGCGAGCGAGCGAGGCUUGGGCGGCGCUGCCCGUGGCAGAGGCGCACUGCCGACGCCGGAGUGCUGCCAAGAACGCCCUGGCGGCGGCGCUGUAGUGUGCCAGGGUGGUUUGGCGCGAUGCUGCGAGGCGGGGAGUGCGUGGCGAGGUGCUGCCGUGUGGGCCAAAGCCAGGGGGCCAGCGUGUCGGCUCGGGCGCGGCAUCGUGCAAUAUGCGCGCUCUGGGCGCGUCCAGUGCACGCACUGGGUGUGCUCGACGAAAUGCCAGAGCAUGCUACAGAGCUUGGUUGAGACUGGCAAUUAACAGACUUAGGUUAGGAGAAACGGGGAGUCUAGUGGACAUGCUGGUUUGAUCAGAGGUGCAAGUUCACAGUGCAAUGCCAAACUCAUGUCAAAACUGGUCAUGCUCUCCAGGUGUUUGACAAAAUGCCACAUGCACUUAGGCAGGUCUUGGGGUGGCCAAAAACUCCAGAUGGGGGUCUCUGUGGAUGAAAGAGAGGGUGGUGUGGUUAUUUGGACAAAAGGGGAGACUUGCUAGUGCAAGUUUUGAAAAACUACAUUUCUGGACAGGAGAUAUAUGACAUUAUUCCAUGAACCAAAAAUGAUCCAAAAGGUGCAUGCUCCUGGACUUAAGGGUUUAACAUGGAGGACUACAAGUAGGAGAAAUAAUCAAGGGCUAAAGAGCAAGCAAAAACAUGGUUGCUGUACAAACCAACAAGUUGGUCCAGAAUGAAGAUGAAGUUGAUUCACUCAAAUUUUUCAAAGAACAUAAUUAGGUUUUUGCACAAAGAGGAAUAAUAGGCUCCUACUGACGUCCCUUAAUUUUGGUAGAAGUUUUAAAGAAAAAUUUAAAUAGGUUGCUGUGUAAAAUGCACUCUGGACCAGAGAAGAAAAAUUGAGUGUAGGGCUCAGAAUAUUUCAUGAAUGAAAUAUAUUUUUGCAUAAAAGUGAUUUAAAAACAUCACAUGACAUCUCCAAAUUUUUAUGGGAAUUUUAAGUGAAUUUAUCAAAUGGUUGUAGUUCAAUUAAGGCCAUUUAACCUAGAAAAACCAUUUUCAAGAAAGUAAAGAUCAAGCAGCUUAAUUAUUUUAUUAGUUACACUGAUAAAAGGAAAGUUUUUCUUGAGAGGUUAAAACAAGUCCAACAACAUUUUUGAAAAGUUUUCUCUUUGGGAAAAACUCAUCAUAACAGGGAAGGAAAUGAUUUAAACAAAAAUCAAAAUGGAGCUCAAAAAUCCAAGUUUUAAAUCCUGGCAAAAAUUUUUAUUCCCUUAAAACAAGGCCAAAAUUUUGGGGUGUCACAAACGACUAGCGCAAGACAGCCGAACUCGGCACGACCAAAGCUUCCUCGACAAGCUAGCGCCACCCGUGGCGUGCUGCGCAACCUAGCCGCGGGUCAGCUCCUGUCCCAUCCAGGCCGUAUGAUGGGGACGAGUCUUCAAUCAAUAAUGACCGAGGCAACAGUGCUUCCACCCAUGCCUACGGUCAGCCGGAGCAUGGCAACAGUGCCCCUCACCUACCCGCUGACCAGGGCCAGCGUGGAAACAGUGCCCCCGCCCUCACCGCUGACGAUAGCAAGCAGCAACCUGACGGAGAGCAUUGUGUGCGACUCAACUCAGCCACGCGCUGACGAUCGACAAGAUGGCACACGGUCCCCCUAGGCACGCGGGGCCCGCACCUAGGGGAACCCGGCGAACCACAAGCCCUCAGCGGGACCCAGCCCGGGUCCUCAGACACCGACAAUACGGACCCACCGACUUGUAACAUUACCAUUGUACCCCCGGGGGGUUGGUCUAUAAAACCCCCCAGGAGCCCACGAUCAAGAUGGGGAAAGCAGGCAAGAAACAGAUACGAGAGAAAAGCAAGUAAGCAUAGGACUAGCCACCAAACGGCAACACCGGAGAGAAGGAGCAGCCCAAGCCUUGGCCAGCUUCCUUCCUCCUCCAUACAGCUCCAGGAGCAACAUUGUACUAUCAAUCAUCCAACUACACUCGGCAGGACUAGGGGUAUUAUCUCUCCGGAGAGCCCCGAACCUGGGUAUGUCCGGCAUCCCGCGCCCGCUCAUGCCAACCUCGCCUCUUGAGUCCACCAACUCCCUCGAGCCUCCUCCUCUCUUUAGCCAUCCCUUGGCAUCUGCCGUGCGCCCACCACGACAAACUACAUGCACAUGCUCCAGUGCAUAUAAAUUGGUUGAAAAAUCAAAUCUUUGUCCUUGGGUGCAUGCUUAGGUCCCAUGCAAGAAAUGGGAAUGAAUUUCAAACACCAGGUCACUAUUGAUUGCCGGCAAAACAUUGAGAUACUUUGUUUUUAAAUUCUAGCAAAUCCAAAACUCGUCUGAAAUUCAUGAAACUUGGCAUGCUAUCAUGGAAUGGCACCCGACAUGCUGUGGUAUUUUUCGUUUCCAUUUUGAGUGGAGAAGCACUCAAAUAACAACCAACAAAGGCAUUUUCAAACAAAUAGCUUCCACUCUAACCUCGCAAACAUUUGUAUAAUUCAAAUUGUGUGUGUUAUGUUAACCAUUCACGUGACGCCACGUGUCUUCGUUCUAAUGGCUAUAGGAGGUGCCGUGCGGACAGCUGCUUGACUAAACGGGUGGCGUGCAAGCGCAGUCCGGUGCGCAGGCUGGCAGAGAGGCGUGCAAGCUGUCCUCCAAUGCGCAGGCUCACCGGGAAGUGUGCAAGCUGUACGCUGUGUGGGCUCACUGGGAAUCGAGCCCUUUGACUUCCAUGGCCGCCCGCCUUCCUCUCCAUUAAUGGCGCCCGAGCCGCUGCUUAAUACGGGCGGCCUUGCUGUUCGCCUCCCAUUCCCCUCCACCCCGCAGACCUCCACCAACACCAUGGCGCAGAAGGAUCAUCUGCCACUAGUCUUCAAGUUUGGUGAAGUCGACUCCGAGCCCGAGGAGAUAGAAAAGAAGGAGGAAUGGGGGCUCAUGGACAUGGCCCAGAACGAGCUGGCCGCGGCUGUUGCUGCCCCCGCUCCCGUCCCAGCUCCCAUCCCCGCGCCCGCGCCAGUGACCAUCCCCAUAGCAUUGUCGGGCUGGUCACCGAGCACUAUCGCAUAGCUCGAAGCCGCGGGCGUCACUGAGGUCUCAGCGGAUCCGCGCGAGCUCGUGUACAUGCCAGCGCUAGUGCCAGCGCCCGUGCCCGUGCCCGUGCGCGCCCCUCCACCCACCAUGACGCCGGUCCCCGUGCAUUUGGCUGCACCCGCCGCGCCUGUGCCCAUGCGCGCACCCCCCUCAGCGGCAUGGGACGCCGCCGUCAACCGCUAGCUCUCAGCGCCGCCAGCUGCUGUCCUCCCGUGCCCGCCCGUCGAUCGUGCGAUGACAUGAUGUUUGAUUUACAAGUGAAGAACAUUCUGAGCUGCCUUGAAGACUUCAACAACGACGUCCCGGAGGAUGACAACGAUAAGGACGGCACGACACGCCGCCUCCGCCACCGCCGGAAAUAGUUUUUUCUUGGUUUCAAUAUUGUAUCUCGAUCGCAAACAUUUUAGUUAGAACACCCGUAUGCAAACCGAAACCUUCCCCAGGAAGCCAAGGGAAAAUGUGCCGAGCAGGAUUUGUGCAGCUCUUGAUCGCAAACGUUUUAGAUAGAACACCCGUAUGCAAAGCGAGAGCAGGAUUUGCGCAUCUCUUCAACGCAAACAGUUGUUUUGGAUGACCCGUGUGCAACCACUUACAAACAAUUUGGGAAGAUUUGCAUCUGUCAUAUUGGGUAUGUUGCCAUUUGUCAAACUUGAAAGAUUGACAUUUGUUGAUCUAGUAACAUUGCCAUUUGUCAACCUUGUAACACUGCGAUUUGUCAAAAUAUGCAGCUAAAAAUCACUAGCACUAUCUAAUUUUUGCAACUAAAAUUCAGUAAUUAAGCAUAGAUUUCAUUCAUAGAUUAAGCAUUCGUGCUUAAUUUAUACAAACAGUUCAACUCGACAGCUGAAACGACCAAACUUUUCCCCAAUUGUUGCCAACCAUGUACUGAAAUAGCUAGUUCUACUUUAUAUACUAGCUAAUUUUAAGUACGUUGUAUAGUUCCACCACAUCUAUAGUCAGAUGAACUGAACUAGCCCCUAAAUACUACUACUACGGAGGGGUUUGUACUACUUCCGACAGCCUCUCCUCUGCCGAGCACGCUCAAUAAGAGGCAGAGGAGGAGGAGCCUACCGACGAGCUGGAUAAAUGCAAUAUGGUGCCUGCCGCUGCUGCACGUUCGGCAAUGCUCGCCAACUCGAACGCCCACUGCCGCUCCAGACGAUCCCUCUUGAAGCGGUGGUUCUCCUUGUAGAUCUCCUGAUUCCUCGCCUCUGAGGUGGCGUGUGCCGCGGCCACGGCAGCGGUAAGGCUCUUUGCAUGAUCGACGAGGCUCUCCUCCUCCUCCCGUAGGAACUCGAUGUAGCGCAUAAGGUCGCUGAAGUAUGUGCCGGCAUACACCUCCACCUCCCGUCUUCGGGCGGCGGUGGCGGAGUGAGUGAUGACCCCGGCGGUCGAAGGUGGGCUGGCGACUAGGGCGACCGACGAUGGGGUGGCGGCCAUGGCCACCACCUUCUGCCUUCGGGCCGCGGUGGUGGAGCGGGUGAUGGCCACAAUGGCCAGCAGUGGGGUGGCGACCACGACGUCCACCUCCUGCCUUCGGGCCGCGAGGCGGAGCGGGCGAUCGCCCUGGCUUUCGACGGUGGUGUGGCGGCAACAGCUACCGGCAGGCACCGGCGAGGGAGCGUGUGGUGGGUGUUCCACGCAAACACAACAGGACACCACGCGCACUACACUAUGUCGUGGGACUGCGCCGCCGCCACGGUGUAGCCUCCCAGCUGGAGCUGUCGUCUGAUGAUAGCGGAGUGGCUGAGCGACCACGACGGACCGGUGCCAUUGGCGAUUGUGGGAGAAGCAGACGAGAUAAGCUAUAGGGUGGGAGGGAAAAUGCGAUGCAAGACUCGCCGAUCGUGAGGGUUUUUAUAGCAGGCCGGUAAGCAUUGGGAUUUUGGAGGAUUUCACCCAGUCGGGCGGGAGCUUGCACGGGAACCUGCGAGGUUGCGCAGGAACGGGAUAUUGGGGAACAUGGUAAUUUCAAAAAAAUUCCUAUGAUCAUGCAAGAUCUAUCUAGGUGAUGCAUAUCAACGAGAGGGGAGAGUGUGUCCACAUACCCUCGUAGAUCAAAAACAGAAGCAUUUCAAUAACGUGGUUUAUGUAGUCGAACUUCUUCGCGAUCCAAUCGAUCAAGUACCGAACGUAUGACACCUCCGCAUUCAGCACACGUUUAGCUCGAUGACAUCCCUCGUGCUCUUGAUCCAGUUGAGGACGAGGGUGAGUUCUAUUAGCACGACGGCGCGGCGACGGUGAAGAUGAUGCUGCGGCCACAGGGUUUCACCUAAGCUCUAUGAUAGUAUGAUCGAGGUGUGUGUAACUGUGGAGGGGGGCACCGCACACAGUUGGGAGAGAAACUUGCGUGUUCUAGGGUGCCCCCUGCCCCUGUAUAUAAAGGAGCAAGGGGAGGCCGGCCAGCCCUCCUAGGGCGCGCCCCACAAGGGGAGUCCUACUAGGACUACUAGUCCUAGUAGGAUUCCACCAAGAGGGAGAGAGGGGAAGGAAGGAGAGGGAGAGGGAGAAGGAAACGGGGGCGCCACCCCCCUUCCCUAGUCCAAUUCGGACCCAAGGGGGAGGGGGGCGCAGCUUGCCCUGGCCGCCCCUAUCUCUCUCCACCAAGGCCCAUGAGGCCCAUUAGUCAAAGUCGAUUCAACUAAAGUUGGAGAAAUAGAGACCCGCCAGCCACCUUUGUGCAAAAGCACGUCGGUAGAACCAGUCUAAUGAACACGGUCAUGUAAUGUCAGUCCGGGCUGCUUCAUCCAACAAUACCGCUGAAUCAAAGUAAGACGCUGGUGGUAAGCAGUAUGACUAUUAUCGCCUACAACUCUUUGUGUUCUACUCGUGCAUAUAACAUCUAUGCAUAGACCUGGCUCGGAUGCCAUUGUUGGGGAACACGAUAAUUUAAAAAAAUUCCUACGAUCACGCAAGAUCUAUCUAGGUGAUGCAUAUCAACGGGAGGGGAGAGUGUGUCCACGUACCCUCGUAGAUCGAAAGCGGAAGCAUUUCAAUAAUGCGGUUGACGUAGUCGAACUUCUUCGUGAUCCAACCGAUCAAGUACCGAACGUACGACACCUCCGCGUUCAGCACACGUUUAGCUUGAUGACAUCCCUCGUGCUCUUGAUACAGUUGAGGACGAGGGUGAGUUCUGUCAGCAUGGCAGCGUGGCGACGGUGAUGAUGAUGCUACCGGCGCAGGGCUUCACCUAAGCUCUACGAUAGUAUGAUCGAGGUGUGUAACUGUGGGAGAGAAACUUGUGUGUUCUAGGGUGCCCCCUGCUCCCGUAUAUAAGGGAGCAAGGGGAGGCCAGCCGGCCCUCCUAGGGUGUGCCCCACAAGGGGAGUCCUAAUAGGACUACUAGUCCAAGUAGGAUUCCACCAAGAGGGAGAGAGGGGGAAGGAAGGAGAGGGAGAGGGAGAAGGAAAGGGGGGCGCCGCCUCCCUUCCCUAGUCCAAUUCGGACCCAAGGGGGAGGGGGCACGUGGCCUGCCCUGGCCGCCCCUCUCUCUCUCCACCAAGGCCCAUGAGGCCCAUUAGUUCUCCCGAGGGGUUCCGAUAACUCUCCGGCACUCCGGUUCUAUCCGAAACUUUUCUGGAACACUUACGGUCUCUGAAUAUAGCCGUCCAAUUUAUUAAUCUUUAUGUCUCGACCAUUUCGAGACUCCUCAUCAUGUCCGUGAUCUCAUCCGGGACUCUGAACAAACUUCGGUCAUAAAAAACACAUAACUCAUAAUGCACAUCGUCAUCGCACGUUAAGCGUGCGGACCCUACGGGUUUGAGAACUAUGUAGACAUGACCGAGACUCAUCUCCGGUUAAUAACCAAUAGCGGAACCUGGAUGCUCAUGUUGGCUCCUACAUAUUCUACGAAGAUCUUUAUCGGUCAAACCGCAUAACAACAUAUGUUGUUCCCUUUGUCAUCGCUAUGUUACUUGCCUGAGAUUCGAUCGUCGGUAUCAUCAUACCUAGUUCCAUCUCGUUAUCAGCAAGUCUCUUUACUCGUUCCUUAAUAAUUCAUCCCGCAACUAACUCAUUAGUUACAAUGCUUGCAAGGCUAGUAGUGAUGAGUAUUACCGAGAGGGCCCAGAGAUACCUCUCCGAAACACGGAGUGACAAAUCCUAAUCUCGAUCUAUGCCAACUCAACAAACAUCUUCGGAGACACCUGUAGAGCACCUUUAUAAUCACCCAUUUAUGUUGUGACGUUUGCUAGCACACAAAGUGUUCCUCCGGUAUUCGGGAGUUGCAUAAUCUCAUAGUCUGAGGAACACGUAUAAGUCAUGAAGAAAGCAGUAGCAAUGAAAAUGCAACGAUCAUAAUGCUAAGCUAACAGAUGGGUCAUGUCCAUCACAUCAUUCUCCUAAUGAUGUGACCCUGUUCGUCAAAUUACAACACAUGUCUAUGGUUAGGAAACAUAGCCAUCUUUGAUUAACAAGCUAGUCAAGUAGAGGCAUACUAGGGACAAUAUGUUUUGUCUAUGUAUUCACACAUGUACUAAGUUUCUGGUUAAUACAAUUCUAGCAUGAAUAAUAAACAUUUAUCAUGAAAUAAGGAAAUAAAUAAUAACUUUAUUAUUGCCUCUAGGGCAUAUUUCCUUUAGUCUCCCACUUGCACUAGAGUCAAUAAUCUAGAUUACAUAAUAAUGAUUCUAACACCCAUGGAGCUUUGGUGCUGAUCAUGUUUUUCUUGUGGAAGAGGCUUAGUCAACGGGUGUGCAACAUUCAGAUCCGUAUGUAUCUUGCAAAUCUCUAUGUCCCCCUCCGACACUUGAUGAUGGAUGGAAUUGAAGCGUCUCUUAAUGUGCUUGGUUCUCUUGUGAAAUCUGGAUUCCUUUGCCAAGGCAAUUGCACCAGUAUUGUCACAAAAUAUUUUAAUUGGACUCGAUGCACUAGGUAUGACACCUAGAUCGGAUAUGAACUCCUUCAUCGAGACUCCUUCAUUUUCUGCUUCCGAAGCAGCAAUGUUCUCCGCUUCACACGUAGAUCCCACCAUGACGCUCUGCUUGGAACUGCACCAACUGACAGCUCCUCCAUUCAAUAAAAAUACGUAUCUGGUUUGCGAAUUAGAGUCAUCUGGAUCAGUGUUAAAGCUCGCAUCAACGUAACCAUUUACGACGAGAUCCUUUUAACCUCCAUAAACAAGAAACAUAUCCUUAGUCCUUUUUAGGUAUUUCAGGAUUUUCUUGACCGUUCUCCAAUGCUCCACUCUGGGAUUACUUUGGUACCUCCCUGCUAUGCUUAUAGCAAGGCACACAUCAGGUCUAGUACACAUCAUUGCAUACAUGAUAGAACCUAUGGCUGAAGCAUAGGGAAUGACCUUCAUUUUCUCUCUAUCUUCUGCAGUGGUCGGGCAUUGAGUCUGACUCAACUUCACACCUUGUAACACAGGCGAGAACCCUUUAUUUGACUGAUCCAUUUUGAACUUCUUCAAAACUUUAUCAAGGUAUGUGUUUUGUGAAAGUCCAAUUAAGCGUCUUGAUCUAUCUCUAUAGAUCUUGAUGCCCAAUAUGUAAGCAGUUUCUCCGAGGUCUUUCAUGGAAAAACUCUUAUUCAGGUAUCCCUUUGUGCUAUCCAGAAAUUCUAUAUCAUUUCCAAUCAACAAUAUGUCAUCCACAUAUAAUAUUAGAAACGCUACAGAACUCCCACUCACUUUCUUGUAAAUACAAGCUUCUCCAAAAGUUUGUAUAAAACCAUAUUCUUUGAUCACACUAUCAAAGUAUUUAUUCCAACUCCGAGAGGCUUGCACCAGUAAAUAAAUGGAUCACUGGAGCUUGCACACUUUGUUAGCACCCUUUGGAUCGACAAAACCUUUUGGUUGCAUCAUAUACAACUCUUCUUACAGAAAUCCAUUCAGGAAUGCAGUUUUGACAUCCAUCUGCCAAAUUUCAUAAUCAUAAAUUGCAGCAAUUGCUAACAUGAUUCGGACGGACUUAAGCAUCACUACGGGUGAGAAAGUCUCAUCGUAGUCAACUCCUUGAACUUUGUCGAAAACCUUUUGCGACAAGUUGAGUGUCGGUGUCAAAACCGGCGGAUCUCGGGUAGGGGGUCCCAAACUGUGCGUCUAGGCGGAUGGUAACAGGAGACGAGGGACACGAUGUUUUUACCCAGGUUCGGGCCCUCUUGAUGGAGGUAAAACCCUAUGUCCUGCUUGAUUAAUAUUGAUGAUGUGGGUUACAAGAGUAGAUCUACCACGAGAUCAAGGAGGCUAAACCCUAGAAGCUAGCCUAUGGUAUGAUUGUUGUUCGUCAUAUGGACUAAAGCCAUCCGGUUUAUAUAGACACCGGAGAGGGCUAGGGUUACACAGAGUCGGUUACAAUGGUAGAAGAUCUACAUAUCCAAAUCGCCAAGCUUGCCUUCCACGCCAAGGAAAGUCCCAUCCGGACACGGGACGAAGUCUUCAAUCUUGUAUCUUCAUAGUCUUGGAGUCCGGCCGUUGAUGGUAGUUCGGCUAUCCGGACACCCCCUAGUCCGGGGCUCCCUCAGUAGCCCCUGAAGCAGGCUUCAAUGACGACGAGUCCGGCGCGCAUAUUGUCUUCGGCAUUGCAAGGCGGGUUCCUCCUCCGAAUAAUUUAUAGAAGAUCGUGAACACCAGGAUAGUGUCCAACUCUGCAAAAAUAAAUUCCACAUACCACCGUAGAGAGAAUAAUAUUACACAAGAUCAAUCUGCUGACGUAUUCUACGGCGUGACGUCACACCACUUCCAAGCCUUUACUCGAAUUGUUUUUAUUGUUCCACCUCAGCACGUUUAGCAAGGCGGUUUCCUUGGCACGUCUUGUCGAAGCAGAGAUAGUGUUCCCCUUAUUCCGGGAUUCCCAUCAAUACGGACGUGGGUAACCCAACCGCGCCAUUGAUUGCGGCGCUUGGGAGAUAAGCGAGUUUUAUCAGGCCGGUGGGGACGCAUGUUUCCAUCCGCCCAUAUAAGGGGAUAAAGAUCCAACCUUUUUACCUGCGCCUUCUUCCUUCUUGGCUUAUCCAUCUCUGCAAACUCGAGCUCUAGCGCCCAAGCCCGCACAUCUCACCUCAACCUUCUCCAAAUAUGUCCGGAGUGGGAGGCAAGUGGAUGGCCUCCUCCGUCACGGAGGGGCAUAUCCAGAAGCUGCGCAGCGACGGAUACUUGUCCAACGACAUCGUGCAUCGGUCCCCGACGAGGGAGAGCUCAUCCCCACCCCUAGGCCCCAUGAGAGGGUAGUAUUCCUUCCCCAUUUCCUCCGCGGACUGGGCUUCCCACUUCAUCCCUUUGUCCGGGGGCUCAUGUUCUACCACGGCCUAGAUUUCCAUGAGCUGGCCCCGAAUUUUAUCCUCAACAUCUCGGUGUUUAUCGUCGUGUGCGAGGCCUUCCUCUGCAUCCAGCCCCACUUCGGCUUGUGGCUCAAGACCUUCAGUGUCAAGCCGAAGGUUGUGAAGGGAAGCCAAGCGGAGUGCGGAGGCGCCAUGGUGGGCAGGAUGUCCCACGUUACGUGGCUGGAGGGCACCUUUGUGGAAACCAUCAAGGGGUGGCAAUCGGGGUGGUUCUACAUCACCGAGCCGCGUGAUCCCGAAUGGGCAGCGGCCCCCGAAUUCAGAUCCGGCAUCCCCACACGGCUCACCUCCUGGAAAGAGAGCGGCCGGAUUUGGGGCGAUUCGGAGGAGCUGACCGGACUCCAAGCCUGCGUCCAAAAGCUGGUGGACAAGAAGCUCAAGCUUGUCAACGUAGUCCAGGUCAUGCUCGUCCGCCAGAUUCUCCCGUGCCAACAAUGGGGCUUCAACAUGUGGGAGUUCGAUCCGGCGCAGCACCAGACUUUGAAUGGGCUCUUUGACACUAUGUACGAAGAGGUCUGGAAGGUGCUGUUCAAGGGCGCCGAGGCUCCCGCAUCCGCUACCGAAGAUCGCAGAUUCAGCUCGCAGCGUCCAGCUGACGAGGUAAGUGAUAUUGUCCUUUACGGGACGCUUGUUAUUCAUAGUUUGACUCUAUGCAGGAUCUAAACUCCCUUUCCUUUGACAGGACUGGCUGAAGAAGGCCGCACAUGCUAUCUGUCCGACCCCAUUGCCAGAGGACCCAGCUGACGCCCGCCUAACGGGGCUGCUGGCUCCGGCACCCCACGUGGUGCCGGAGAAGAAGGCCAAGAAGAAGGCCACGGGGACUCGGAAGAGUUCCCUUUUUCAGGUGCUACCGGACGAUGAAUCCGAGGCCGACUCCUCCCACCAAGGCGAGGAGGAGAAUAAGAAAGCCUCUCCCCCAGCGGGGGGAGGGAAGAAAAGGAAGGCCUCCCCAACAAGGGAGGCCGAAGGGUCCAAGAGAGAAAAAACUCUUCCCCCGGACUGUUCCGCCAACGCCAGUGACGACGACGAGGACUGGCCUCCAAGGGCCAAGCCUCUGGCGAGAUCGUAAGUAUUUGGACUCCCGAAUAACUUCAAGUUUUUCGUUUUCCGCCACAUUAUGUCUUUCUAAUGCCGCAUACAACCCUGCAGUCCGCCUAAGGAUGAUCUCCCCACUUCUUCGAGCGGGUCCUUAGGGGCGUCAGAUAUGGAUUCUCUUCCGACUGCCUCCACCCCCCGUGAUGCGGACGAUGCCGAGGUGGGAUCCCAGGAAGGGACCCACCAGGAGGAGAGGGCCCCGGAGGUGUCGCAGGACAACCUCCCGGACUUUGCAUCGGACUCAGCCCCAGAACCCAUAGUGACUCCGGAGUCCGGUGCGCGACCCCUUCGUAAGAAGGGCAAGACCGCGACGCCGGCUGCCUCCGUCCAACCGGAGGUGCCGAAUAAUUUGCUGGAGGCGCUCAACGGCGCCUCCAUCGAAGAGGAACACCGCACUGUUAUGAGUGCGGUGAUUCAGAAGGUUCAGCUCGCCAAGAGCGGGCUGACCGAAGCCUGCAGUAGCCUUCUAACAGGCUUUGAGGUAAGAAUUUCAAUAUAUGUAAAAUGGUACCGCAUAGACAGUAGCCCCUGAUGCUCGGUUCGGUGUUUGGAAAGAAAAGCCGGACUGAGGAUCUUUAGAAAGAUAAACGCAGGAGUCAUGAAAAUAUGUCAAUAUGGGAUUGCAGGCUGUGCUGCUGACCUCUGCCGCACUGACUGCGAAGGUCCAAACUUUGAAGGAAAACCUCGAGCGGUCCGAGAACGAGCUCGGCCAUGCCAAGAAGCAGCUCGAGGAAAAAGAAGGUGAGUAAUACCUUAUGAAAAUUGUACCUUACAGAAAAGGAUUUGGUUGCAAGAAAAAUGACAAGGAUAACUGGGGUAUUGCAGGGGCCACUAAUGAGGUGGCGACCCUGAAGGAGGCGGUGGCCGCGGCCGAACACAAUGCGGCUGCGGAGCGCACCGAGCGAGAGAAACAGGAGGUGCGGGUGGCGGAGGUACAGCAAGAGCUCCAGGAUCUCGUGAGGAAACAUGAGAGCCUGGAGCGUGACUUGAAGACUCGAGAGUCUGAGCUUGCAAUGGCUCUUGAGAGUGCCAAAGCCGCUAAGGCCGAAGCCUACAAGGCCCUCCAGGAGAUAGAGGCGGUGAAGAAAAUAGCAGCGGGUAAGGCAUUUUUCAUGCAAAAUAAGCAUGUGAGUGUUAAUUACCUGUCGCUUACCCGAAUUAGGAGCUCUCCAGGAGCGUUCGCAGAUCUUCCCCGCAGCGUGUCCGAUGCUGCCGCAUUCUACCGGGCCGAGGAGGGGAGCUCAACGGAGAAGGUCUUCUGGUCUCAGUAUGCCGAGGCCGGACAUCCGGUGCCCCUUAGCGACCAGCUAAAGCAGCUGGUCGAGCUCCACAAGGCGGCCGAACAGGCCAUGAAGGGCCUCAUAGUUCGGCUGUGGCCUAAGGAGGCUAUGCCUGGGAGCUACUUCGGCCUGGUACGGCGGCUGGUGGACGCGCGCCCGUGGGUUGAAGUUAUCAAGCACUCCGCCUGUAUCGAGGGUGCGCGUUGGGCCCUUGCCCGCGCAAAGGUGCACUGGGGCAAGAUGGAUGCCCAGAAGCUUGUGACGGACCCCCCACCAGAGGGCAAGGAGCAUCACACGCCCAAGAUGUAUUAUAGGAGUGUGCUGAAGGGCGCCCACAUUAUUGCGGGUGAGUGCUCCAAAGAAGAAGUUUUUGAGUAGACUCGCGUUUUGUUAUCCUGUGCGCUGAAAACUAAGUUCAUAUGCGCGAAGCAACACUUGUUAAUUUAAAAUAUUACCUUCUGUGCGGCUGUUUAUCAAAUCUGAGAGAUGGCAAGUCGUCACCUUCAGCCCCCAUGCCACGAGUGCUAGGGUGUUUGGGAUAAACUCGAGCGCUCUUGUUCCCAUUUUUGGGUCCAUCUAGGGAGGCGCUCAACACAACGAACAAGGCAACCGUACUUAUAAUGCUUGAACACUCUCACUUAGCCAUAGAAUUCUAUAAUUUUAAAUUUCGGCGAAGCCCCUAGUUUUCGGAAGGCUGACAUUGGGGCGCUAUCCACGCCUUGGCCGGACAGAAUCCGGCUCCAUGCUCGAAGCGGCAUAAGUCUUUAGGGACUCGCAAAGAACCUCUCGAACAGCGACCAGCUCUCGCCUCAUCAUGACGGUCAGUUUUAGCUUUCUCCACUGAGGCGUUAACCCAGCUCAACUGGGGCACAAUCGCAGUGGUUCUCCCAGUGCUACCUUAGCCGAUAAAACGGAACGUAAGGUACCAAAACAUGGGAGCCGGGCAAACCCAACUAUUGACCCAAGAACAUGAUUCGGAGCCGAUGCAUAUAAUGCUAUAAGUUCGGGGUGCCGCACUUGUGAAAGUGUUCGGACUUAUCACACCAUAAGCGGGAAACAUAAGCCCCUGGUGUAUUUAGCCGUACCAAAACGUACGGAUGCAACAUGUCAUAGAUGAACAUAUGUGUAAGAAAGAAAUGCAAUUAGAAGCAAAAAUGUGCUGCAUUGCUUUACUCAAUAAAAACUGCUGUAAGUGCAGGACGAUACAAGUGGUGCGGUAAGCAAGGGAUGGGACUGUUUAACAUGUCCCCCUCCAGGGGUAGGCUACGGAAUAAUGCAUAAAACAGAUUUAAUGCUCAUGAUGGAGACCACCUGGAUUUUCGUUGUAGCCUUUCUCCUUCCCUAGCUGUUGCAUCGUGGGUUCGGCAUGUCUGCUGCCGGACAGGGCCUCUGACGAACGGAGUCCUGUAGGUAAAAAAUAAAAGGAAAAGAAAAAGAAACGACACACAUAAGAGCCCCUGGUGCGGUUGAGCCGUAGUCUGGGCUUAUCGUGGUCGAGCCCCUUGCCCCAUGCCCACGGUAUCUUCAGAGCGUAAUGGAGUACGCGAAGGGUCUGUCUUAAUGUUUUACAGGGGCUGGGGUUGGGGCCGCACUGCUACGCGUGCUCGGAACGUGCCAGGUGGUCGUGUUGUAGGUUACUCCGGGCACGCUUAGCUGUGUCCGGCCGCUUGGCAGCCGGACUCGAGAAUUGCCUUAAAAGGCUGCUUUGUACUUCUGCCGCGAGAGCCGCUGUAUGUUCCUUCGUUCGGAGGGAGCGUUCAAUGUUUUUGUUGACCGUGAUGACUCCUCUAGGGCCUGGCAUCUUGAGCUUGAGGUAUGCGUAGUGCGGCACCGCGUUAAACUUUGCGAACACGGUACGUCCGAGCAAGGCAUGAUAGCCGCUGCGGAACGAGACUAUGUCGACGAUUAACUCCUCGCUUCGGAAGUUAUCCGGGGAUCCGAAGACCACUUCCAGUGUAACUGAGCCUGUACAAUUGGCUUCUACACCUGGUAUGACGCCUUUAAAGGUCGUCUUGGUAGGUUUAAUCCUUGAGGGGUCUAUGCCCAUUUUGCGCACCGUGUCCUGAUAAAGCAGGUUUAGGCUGCUACCGCCGUCCAUCAGGACUCUGGUGAGAUGAAAUCCAUCUACGAUUGGGUCUAGAACCAAUGCGGCGAACCCACCAUGGCGAAUGCUAGUGGGGUGGUCCCUUCGGUCAAAGGUGAUCGGGCAAGAGGACCAUGGAUUGAACUUCGGGGCAACUGGCUCCAUCGUGUAUACGUCCCUGAGUGCACGCUUCCGCUCCCUUUUGGGUAUGUGCGUGGCAUAUAUCAUGUUCACCGUCCGCACCUGUGGGGGGAAACCCUUCUGUCCUCUAUUGUUCGGCGGUCGGGUCUCGUCCUCGUCGUCGCUAUGUAGCCCCUUGUCGCUGUUUUCGGCAAUUAACUUGCCUGCCUGCUUGAACACCCAACAGUCCCUAUUGGUGUGGUUAGCUGGCUUUUCAGGGGUGCCGUGUAUCUGGCACAAGCGGUCAAGUAUUCGGUCCAAAUUGGACGAACCCUGAGUUGUUCUUUUGAAUGGCUUUUUCCGUUGACCGGGUUUAGAGCCUCUGAAUCCGGCAUUGACUGCCGUAUCCUCACUGUUAUCGCCAUUAAUGCGGCGUUUGUUUUUGUUGCGACGCGACCUGCCACUACGGUCCUUGAUAUCCGGACUGCCAGAAUUUUUGUUGAGGUUGUUGCUGCGUGCUAGCCAGCUGUCCUCACCCGCACAGAAGCGGGUCAUGAGUGAUGUAAGGGCUGCCAUGGAUUUCGGCUUUUCCUGUCCCAGGUGCCGGGCAAGCCAUUCAUCGCGGAUGUUAUGCUUGAAGGCCGUGAGGGCCUCGGCAUCCGGACAGUCGACGAUUUGGUUUUUCUUGGUUAAGAACCGUGUCCAGAAUUGUCUGGCCGAUUCGUCUGGCUGCUGAAUUAUGUGGCUUAGGUCAUCUGCAUCUGGUGGUCGCACGUAUGUGCCUUGGAAGUUAUCGAGGAAAGCGGCUUCCAGGUCCUCCCAACUCCCAAUUGACUCUGCUGGCAAGCUAUUGAGCCAAUGUCGGGCUGGUCCUUUAAGCUUGAGGGGGAGGUAUUUGAUGGCGUGAAGAUCGUCACCGCGGGCCAUGUGGAUGUGGAGGAGAUAGUCUUCGAUCCAAACCGCGGGGUCUGUUGUGCCAUCGUAGGAUUCAAUAUUGACGGGUUUAAACCCUUCGGGGAUUUGAUGAUCCAUUACUUCAUCUGUGAAGCAUAGUGGGUGUGCGGCGCCUCUGUACUGGGCGAUAUCGCGACGGAGCUCAAAAGAGCUUUGUCUGUUGUGUUCGGCCUGGCCGGACUUACUGUGUCCGGGGUGACGGUGAUCGUCACGUAUCGUGGGGCGCCCACGUGAUCCAUAGAUCGAUCUUGAUUGUCUUGCCUUAUCCUCCAAUAUGUCGCGCAGGUCCGGAGUGUUCCCCUGUGGCCUUGUGCUUUUCGAGCGAUGCCGGGGUACGGGUCUAGUGAAGGGCCUUGAGGCCACUCUGUCGCGACCAUGGGGUGGUCGGUCAGCCGUAUUGUCUCCUGGUGAUGCGGGUUCGUAAGCCUCCUCCUCUAAUCGGGGGAGCAGCUUGUGUUUAGGGUAGCUUUUGGAGGGGCGUUCGAGCUCAUGCUCUUAGGCCGCGAGGACUUCAGUCCAUCUUUCGUCUAGCAGAUCCUGAUCAGCUCUAAGCUGUUGCUGCUUUUUCUUGAGGCUAUUCACCGUGGCCAUAAGCCUGCAUUUAAAACGCUCUUGUUCGACGGGAUCCUCAGGCACGACGAAUUCGUCAUCGUCGAGGCUCGCUUCGUCUCCGGAGGGAGGCGUAUAAUCCUCUGCCUCUUCUCCUGCCGCUCCUUCAUAAGGGCUGGCGUCCCCCUCCUCCUGUGCUGGAUCUUGCUGGAGUGGGUUGUCUUCGGCGCUAUCCGGUGUAUUAUUGUCUCCGGUGCCGGAAUCCUCAUUCUUGCUAUGGUGGGAUUUAGAGCGGCGCCGCUGACGCCGGCGCUUGGGCUGUUUCUUGGAGGGGUCAUCCUCCGCUAUUCCUUCGCCGUUCCCAUCCUUUAGGAUAUCCACCAUGUAUAUGUCGUAUGAAGAGGUGGCUUUCCAGUGCCCGGUGGGCGCUGGUUCUUGGUCGUCUCCGGCAUCGUCGUCCAUACCGUCGAUGUCCUCGGAGUCGUAGUCUAGCAUGUCGGUUAAAUCAUAGACAGCGGCUACCAAGUGGGUGGUGGGUGGGCUUUGAAUUUCUUCGUCGUCCGCAUCCCAACCGUCCUGACCGUAGUCCGGCUAGGUCUCUCCUGAUAACGAGAGAUAUUUUAGCGAACUCAAGAUGUCACCGAAAGGUGAGUGUUGAAAGACGUCCGCUACGGUGAACUCCAUGAUCGGCGCCCAAUCGGAUUCGAUCAGGGCGGGCGCGGGAGGUUCGGAGUCCGGUGAGGAGUCCGGCACCUCGGAGUUACGAGCUUUAUGAGGGACAAAGUCAGUGUUCGGCUCUAUCGCCGUAGAGGUUGCAGCCCCCGAGGCGGUGUCUAGGCAUCCGUCCUCGAUCUGCACGACCGGCUCCGAAUUGACGAUCGGAGCGGGCUCGAGUGCGGCCUCCAGGGUACUGUCCGGCUGCAGAGCUAAAUCAUGCCCAUCGUGACAGUACGACACGCUCGGCUGUGGCUCGAAUCCGUCGAGUAUCAAGUCCCCGCGGAUGUCAGCCGUGAAGUUCAAACUUCCAAAUCUGACCUAACGGCCAGGGGCGUAGCCUUCGAUCUGCUCCAGCUGGCCAAGCGAAUUGGCCCGCAGUGAGAAGCCGCCGAAUACGAAGAUCUGUCCGGGGAGGAAGGUCUCACCCUGGACUGCAUCGUCGUUGAUGAUCGAAGAAGCCAUCGAGCCUAUCGGUGACGACACAGAGGAACUCUCAAUGAAAGCACCAAUGUCGGUGUCAAAACCGGCGGAUCUCGGGUAGGGGGUCCCGAACUGUGCGUCUAGGCAGAUGGUAACAGGAGACGAGGGACACGAUGUUUUUACCCAGGUUUGGGCCCUCUUGAUGGAGGUAAAACCCUACGUCCUGCUUGAUUAAUAUUGAUGAUGUGGGUUACAAGAGUAGAUCUACCACGAGAUCAAGGAGGCUAAACCCUAGAAGCUAGCCUAUGGUAUGAUUGUUGUUCGUCCUAUGGACUAAAGCCAUCCGGUUUAUAUAGACACCGGAGAGGGCUAGGGUUACACAGAGUCGGUUACAGUGGUAGAAGAUCUACAUAUCCGCAUCGCCAAGCUUGCCUUCCACACCAAGGAAAGUCCCAUCUGGACACGGGACGAAGUCUUCAAUCUUGUAUCUUCAUAGUCUUGGAGUCCGGCCGAUGAUGGUAGUUUGGCUAUCCGGACACCCCUAGUCCGGGACUCCCUCAUUGAGCUUUGUAGAUAGUAACACUACUAUGAUCGUCCGUCUUCCUCUUGAAGAUCCAUUUAUUCUUAAUGGCUUGCCGAUCAUCGGGCAAGUCCACCAAAGUCCACACUUUGUCCUCAUACAUGGAUCCCAUCUCAGAUUUCAUGGCCUCAAGCCAUUUCGCGAAAUCUGGGCUCAUCAUCGCUUCCUCAUAGUUCGUAGGUUCAUCAUGGUCUAGUAACAUGACUUCCAGAAUAGGAUUACCGUACCACUCUGGUGCAGAUCAUACUCUGGUUGACCUACGAGGUUCGGUAGUAAAUUGAUCUGAAGUUUCAUGAUCAUCAUCAUUAGCUUCGUCAUUAAUUGGUGUAGGAAUCACUGGAACUGAUUUCUGUGAUGAACUACUUUACAAUUCAGGAGAAGGUACAGUUACCUCAUCAAGUUCUACUUUCCUCACACUCACUUCUUUAGAGAGAUACUCCUUCUCUAGAAAGGAUCCAUUCUUAGCAACGAAUAUCUUGCCUUCGGAUCUGUGAUAGAAGGUGUACCCAACAGCUUCCUUUGGGUAUCCUAUGAAAACACACUUCUUAGAUUUGGGUUCAAGCUUAUCAGGUUGAAGCUUUUUCACAUAAGCAUUGCAGCCCCAAACUUUAAGAAACGACAACUUUGGUUUCUUGCCAAACCAUAGUUCAUAAGGCGUCGUCUCAACGGAUUUUGAUGGUGCCCUAUUUAAAGUGAAUGUAGCCGUCUCUAAAGCAUAACCCCAAAACAAUAGCGGUAAAUCAGUAAGAGACAUCAUAGAUCGCACCAUAUCUAAUAAAGUACGGUUGUGAUGUUCGGACACACCAUUUCGCUGUGGUGUUCCAGGUGGCGUAAGUUGUGAAACUAUCCCAAGUUGUUUCAAAUGAAGACCAAACUCGUAACUCAAAUAUUCUCCUCCAUGAUCAGAUCGUAGAACUUUAUUUUCUUGUUACGAUGAUUUCCACUUCACUCUGAAAUUCUUUGAACUUUUCAAAUGUUUCAGACUCAUGCUUCAUUAAGUAGAUAUACCCAUAUCUGCUCAAAUCAUCUGUGAAGGUAAGAAAAUAAUGAUACCCGCCACGAGCAUCAACACUCAUUGGACCGCAUACAUCUGUAUGUAUUAUUUCCAAUAAGUCAGUAGCUCUCGUUCCAUUGUUCCGGAGAAUGGAGUUUUAGUCAUCUUGCCCAUAAUUAAGGCACGGUUCGCAAGCACCAAGUGAUUCAUAAUCAAGUAAUUCCAAAAGUCCAUCAGCAUGGAGUUUCUUCAUGCACUUUAUACCGAUAUGACCCAAACGGCAGUGCCACAAAUAAGUUGCACUAUCAUUAUCAACUUUGCAUCUUUUGGCUUCAAUAUUAUGAAUAUGUGUAUCAUCACUAUUGAGAUUCAAUAAAAAUAGACCACUUAGCAAGGGUGCAUGACCAUAAAAGAUAUUACUCAUAUAAAUAGAACAACCAUUAUUCUCUGCUUCAAAUGAAUAGCUGUCUCACACCAAACAAGAUCCAGAUAUAAUGUUCAUGCUCAACGCUGGCACCAAAUAACAAUUAUUCAGGUCUAAAACUAACCCCGAAGGUAGAUGUAGAGGUAGCAUGCCGACGGCGAUCACAUCAGCCUUGGAACCAUUUCCCACGCGCAUCGUCACCUCGUCCUUAGCCAAUCUUUGUUUAAUCCGUAGCCCCUGUUUCGAGUUGCAAAUAUGACCGAAAGAACCAGUAUCAAAUACCCAGGCGCUACUACGAGCAUUAGUAAGGUACACAUCAAUAACAUGUAUAUCAAAUAUACCUUUCACUUUGCCAUCCUUCUUAUCCGCCAAAUACUUGGGACAGUUCCGCUUCCAGUGUUCAGUCCCUUUGCAGUCGAAGCACUUAGUUUCAGGCUUAGGUCCAGACUUGGGUUUCUUCUCCUGAGCAGCAACUUUCUUGCCGUUCUUCUUAAAGUUCCCCUUCUUCCCUUUGCCCUUUUUCUUGAAACUAGUGGUCUUGUUGACCAUCAACACUUGAUGCUCCUUCUUGAUUUCUACCUCUGCAGCCUUUAGCAUCAUGAAGAUCUCGGGAAUAGUCUUGUUCAUCCCUUCCAUAUUAUAGUUCAUCAUGAAGCCUUUAUAGCUUGGUGGCAGUGAUUGAAGAACUCUGCCAAUGACACUAUCAUCAGGAAGAUUAACUCCUACCCAGGCAUUCUGAGUAUGUGUUCACUGACAGAACUAUGCUCCUCCAUUUUGCAGCUGUAUAACUUGUUGGAGACUUCAUAUCUCUCAACUCUGCAUUUUCUUGUAAUAUUAAUUUCAACUCUUGGAAUAUCUCAUAUGCUCCAUGACGUUCAAAACGUCUAUGAAGUCCCGAUUCUAAGCCGUAAAGCAUGGCACACUGAACUAUCGAGUAGUCAUCAUCUUUGCUCUACCAGACGUUCUUAACGUCAUCAGUAACAUCUGCAGCAGGCCUGGCACCCAACCGUGCUUCCAGGAUGUAAUUCUUCUAUUAAUCCUCAAGUUACGGACCCAGUCCAUGUAGUUGCUGCCAUCAUCUUUCAACUUAGCUUUCUCUAGGAAUGCAUUAAAAUUCAAAGGAACGGUAGCACGGGCCAUUGAUCUACAAUAACAUAGACAUGCAAAAUAACUAUUAGGACUAAGUUCAUGAUAAAUUAAAGUUCAAUUAAUCAUAUUACUUAAGAACUCCCACUUAGAUAGACAUCCCUCUAGUCAUCUAAAUGAUCACGUGAUCCAAAUCAACUAAACCAUGUCCGAUCAUCACGUGAGAUGCAGUAGUUUUCAAUGGUGAACAUCACUAUGUUGAUCAUAUCUACUAUAUGAUUCAUGUUCGACCUUUCGGUCUUAGUGUUUCGAGGCCAUAUCUGCAUAUGCUAGGCUCGUCAAGUUUAACCCAAGUAUUCCGCGUGUGCAAAACUGGCUUGCACCCGUUGUAUGUGAACGUAGAGCUUAUCACACCCAAUCAUCACGUGGUGUCUCGGCACGACAAACUGUAGCAACGGUGCAUACUCAGGGAGAACACUUAUACCUUGAAAUUUAGUAAGGGAUCAUCUUAUAAUUCUAUCGUCGUACUAAGCAAAAUAAGAUGCAUAAAAUAUAAACAUCACAUGCAAUCAAAAUACGUUACAUGAUAUGGCCAUCAUCAUCUUGUGCUCAUGAUCUCCAUCACCGAAGCAUCGCCAUGAUCUCCAUCAUCACCGGUGCGACACCUUGAUCUCCAUCGUAGCAUCGUUGUCGUCUCGCCAACUAUUGUUACUAUGACUAUUGCUACCGCUUAGUGAGAAAGUAAAACAAUUACAUGGCGAUUGCAUUGCAUACAAUAAAGUGACAACCAUAUGGCUCCUGCCAGUUGCCGAUAACUUUGUUACAAAACAUGAUCAUCUCAUACAACAAUUUAUAUCACAUCAUGCCUUGACCAUAUCACAUCACAGCAAGCCCCGCAAAAACAAGUUAGACGUCCUCUAAGUUGUUGUUGCAAGUUAUACAUGGCUGCUACGGGCUUCUAGCCAGAACCGUUCUUACCUACGCAUCAAAACCACAACGAUUUUUUGUCACGUAUGCUAUUUUAACCUUCAACAAGGACCAACCGUAGUCAAAGUCGAUUCAACUAAAGUUGGAGAAAUAGAGACCCGCCAGCCACCUUUGUGCAAAAGCACGUCGGUAGAACCAGUCUAAUGAACACGGUCAUGUAAUGUCAGUCCGGGCCGCUUCAUCCAACAAUACCGCUGAAUCAAAGUAAGACGCUGGUGGUAAGCAGUAUGACUAUUAUCGCCUACAACUCUUUGUGUUCUACUCGUGCAUAUAACAUCUAUGCAUAGACCUGGCUCGGAUGCCAUUGUUGGGGAACACGAUAAUUUAAAAAAAUUCCUACGAUCACGCAAGAUCUAUCUAGGUGAUGCAUAUCAACGGGAGGGGAGAGUGUGUCCACGUACCCUCGUAGAUCGAAAGCGGAAGCAUUUCAAUAAUGCGGUUGACGUAGUCGAACUUCUUCGUGAUCCAACCGAUCAAGUACCGAACGUACGACACCUCCGCGUUCAGCACACGUUUAGCUUGAUGACAUCCCUCGUGCUCUUGAUACAGUUGAGGAUGAGGGUGAGUUCUGUCAGCAUGGCAUCGUGGCGACGGUGAUGAUGAUGCUACCGGCGCGGGGCUUCACCUAAGCUCUACGAUAGUAUGAUCGAGGUGUGUAACUGUGGGAGAGAAACUUGUGUGUUCUAGGGUGCCCCCUGCUCCCGUAUAUAAGGGAGCAAGGGGAAGCCAGCCGGCCCUCCUAGGGUGUGCCCCACAAGGGGAAUCCUAAUAGGACUACUAGUCCAAGUAGGAUUCCACCAAGAGGGAGAGAGGGGGAAGGAAGGAGAGGGAGAGGGAGAAGGAAAGGGGGGCGCCGCCUCCCUUCCCUAGUCCAAUUCGAACCCAAGGGGGAGGGGGCAUGUGGCCUGCCCUGGCCGCCCCUCUCUCUCUCCACCAAGGCCCAUGAGGCCCAUUAGUUCUCCCGAGGGGUUCCGAUAACCCUCCGGCACUCCGGUUUUAUCCGAAACUUUUGCGGAACACUUACAGUGUCUGAAUAUAGCUGUCCAAUAUAUCAAUCUUUAUGUCUCGACCAUUUCGAAACUCCUUGUCACGUCCGUGAUCUCAUCCGGGACUCCGAACAAACUCCGGUCAUCCAAAACACAUAACUCAUAAUACAUAUCAUCAUCGAACGUUAAGCGUGCGGACCCUACGGGUUUGAGAAGUAUGUAGACAUGACCGAGACUCAUCUCCGGUCAAUAACCAAUAGAGGAGCAUUGAUGCUCAUAUCAGUUCCUACAUAUUCUAUGAAGAUCUUUAUCGGUCAAACCGCAUAACAACAUACGUUGUUCCCUUGGUCAUCGGUAUGUUACUUGCCCGAGAUUCGAUCGUCGGUAUCAUCAUACCUAGUUCAAUCUCGUUAUCGGCAAGUCUCUUUACUCAUUCCAUAAUAAUCCAUCCCGCAACUAACUCAUUAGUUACAAUGCUUGCAAGGCUAAUAUUGAUGAGUAUUACCGAGAGGGCCCAGAGAUACCUCUCCGAAACACAGAGUGAAAAAUCCUAAUCUCGAUCUAUGCCAACUCAACAAACACCUGAGACACAUGUAGAGCACCUUUAUAAUUACCCAUUUACGUUGUGAUGUUUGGUAGCACACAAAGUGUUCCUCCGGUAUUCGGGAUUUGCAUAAUCUCAUAGUGUGAGGAACAUGAAUAAGUCAUGAAGAAAGCAGUAGCAAUGAAACUGUAACGAUCAUAAUGCUAAGAUAACAGAUGGGUCAUGUCCAUCACAUCAUUCUCCUAAUAAUGUAAUCUCGUUCAUCAAAUGAAAACACAUGUCUAUGGUUAGAAAACAUAACCAUCUUUGAUUAACGAGCUAGUCAAGUAGAGGCAUACUAGGGACAAUAUGUUUGUCUAUGUAUUCACACAUGUACUAAGUUUCCGGUUAAUACAAUUCUAGCAUGAAUAAUAAACAUUUAUCAUGAAAUAAGGAAAUAAAUAAUAACUUUAUUAUUGCCUCUAGGGCAUAUUUCCUUCACGAGCUCACCGAUGAUUCAUUGGCGCCACCGUUUGGCCAAAAGAACGCUCCCGCGCACUGCGCAAGCUUACGUUGUAAGCCGUCUAUGGUAGUGAGGUGACAAGACAUGCGAGAGGAGGACGAAAGGCCACAUACACAUAUGGUUAAUUAAAAAAUGUUUACGAUUGAAUUACCUACUAUACAACCGUCCUGGUUUAUAAGUAGGAUUUAACUAAUAAAAUACGAAUGCAUGUCGCCAAAGAUUAUAGUUGGAUUCGUAUGUGAACAUAGUUUCCAAUUAUAUAAUUUUUAUAACAUGCAUUAACAUUUUGUUGGAUAAAUUUGAGGGCAAAGUAUGGCACAUAAUAUAAAGGGGACUAUAGACCAAGACGGAGGUAGUAGCACAUGGCCGCUCUCUACGCAGCGACGCAAGUGUCGGCCGGCUUGUAGGCGACCAUUUCCUGCAUGUUCAACUGCUCUAUGCGUGUGGUUGCUUGCGGUUGAGGCGGCCACUGCACGCUCUGCUCGUGUCCCACCGCGCGCGCUCUACCCUCUCACGUCCCUCGGGUGCUCUGCCCUCGUCCCUCCAUGCAUGCCGCCAUUGUUUGGGGCCGGCGCACGAUCACACACGUUCGUGUGCAUGCGUUUGCGCCGUGCGCGGCUUCACAAUGCAGUUACCCGAUGCAAAAACUGCCAUGCGGAUGCGCCGGGAAUCCAGGCCGCCCGACCCCCAUUUAUUCCUGCGGCCAUUUACAUUCAUCUCUUGCGUCACACGACACAAUAAGCACCUCCACGAUGACACAUACAGAGAGGACAUCCAGUGGUUCCAAUGACGAUCCCCAUGGCUCCAGUGGCGCUCCCAGCGACCGAUGAUGACAACAGCGGGCAGUUCACCACGCAUCACGUAGAGGACACCCACGUGAGGGGGAAGGCCCUCUCGGUGGUGUACACAAAUGAUCCGGUGUUGGUGGAGAGCUCCAUCCAAACUAUGGAGCAGUUCCUUUCCGAGGACAAGUACCAAGUGGUCGGCUUCGACCUUGAGUACACCAUCGUCCGUGCCGGGCACGAUCAGAAGUUUGUCGCCGCCCAGUUGUGCGUGCGACAUGACGUCCUCGUCUACCACUACCACCUGGCCACAAGGCCUUGCGAGCGUUUCUCUAGUUUUAUCAACAGCUCCAACUACAAGUUUGCUACGGUGGACACCACCAACGAUCUAAAAGAGCUCAAGGUUUCAGGCUUGAAAUGCCCGAAUCUUGUCAACAUCCAGGACCACUACGAGGUCUGGGGCAGCACCAAGAACAAACUGAACUCCCUGGGCGACCUCGCCUUGGCCAUCAUCGACCCCUACUACAUGAAGAUGAAGGAUGAGAGCAAGAAGCACAAGGACACCUGGCACAGUGUUUGGCAUAAGAGACUGGAUGAAGAACACGCCAAUACGCGACCAAUGACGCGUACACAAGCUACGAGAUGUACAGGCGGAUCGUUGACAUGGGGAAGUGUCUUGUUCAUGCCCCAACCGAGGGAUCGAGCCACAGAGCAGUGGCGGGAGCGUCACAAGAAGUAGAUGACUAGACGCGUCUCUCCUACUUUAGAAUGCAUGUAAUUGUUUAUUGAGGUGUGUGCGAAUGAUCUGUAUAGUCACUUAUGUAAUUGGAUGUUUAUUUCAGUUUUAUAUAUACAUGUUAUUCUUCUGUAGAUAGAGCAAAUCACAUAGCUUAUUAGCAGCAAUCGUCUGUGUUAUUAUUGGUCUUCACACACAUUUCUGAUCACAUACCUGUUUGCCACGUAUCACACACAUCUUAUUCAGUUGAACCGUUUCCAUUGUGUUGUGCAAUAAAGGCUGCAAAGAGGGACCUACAGCAACAAGGACCAGCUUCCCUACCGAUAGCUCAUCUAACAGAACUCCCAAGUUAACUGUGUUGAGGCUGGAGUAGUCAUGAUAUGGGUGACCAGAUGGGAAGUGGACUCAAUAUUAACUAGUUGGAUGGGUAACUGCAAAGGUUUAUUAUAAAACUUUGUAGUGACCCAUCCCAUCUAGUUAAUAUCGAGGUCUUUGUUUUGUAAUUUUUGACAUUUUUUGUUUUUUCAACACAUGUUGAUUGGCUUGAAGAAGGUCUAUCUCAUUACUUAUUGAUAAUUAUUUAUACGCAAGCAACUAGUUUGCAUUUUUUAAAGUUUUUUGUACGAACGGAAUCGCACACGAACUUACUAUAAUAACCGUCUGUGUUAUAAUUUCUCAUUGUAAACAGUUCAUCCGAGUGGGCUGUUUGCUGCGUAUCACACACAUCUGGUUUACACGAAUCAUUUGUGUUCUUUUGGCUGAUCGCAAAUGCCGCAUAUCACACACAUCUUGUUAAGAUGAACCAUUUCUGUUCUCUUGCCUAAUUGAAAACAGUUUGUCUGAGUGAACCGUAUGCCGUAUAUCACACACACCUUGAUCUGGCUGACCGUUUCUGUUGCAUUCCCUAAUAGCACACAGUUCAUUGGAGGGAAUUGUAAGCCGUAUAUCGCACACACAUUGAUAUGGUUGCCCAUUUCUGUUGUUCUUCCUCAUCGCAAACAGUUCUGCUGGAUCAACCGUAUGCCCUUCAUCGCACACGCAACUAAAAUCUGAACCGUGUUUGAAGCAUCCGUCAUCGCAAAUGUUUUGGACAUUUUUGACGGCUCUUUAACACCACCGUUUGCGAUUAUUGCAUCGUACAUAGUUUCUCGAAGGGUCUCUGAUCGUAGUGUCGCGUUAGCACUUAGCAGCAUCCUGCAGUAGUGAAUAGUAACUUAGCAAAGACCAAUAUGAGAAAAGCGUAGGCAUUGGGUCAGCGAUGGAUAUUUGUGUUGGAUGACACUCAUCAUAUAACAAUCACAACCUAGAGUGGUACACGAUAGCUCCAAUUCAUCAAUGUAAUAUAGGCAUGUAUUUCGUAUAUAGUCAUAUGUGCUUCUAAAAAGAAAUUGCAUGGAAUCUUUUGUCCUACCCUCCCGUGGCAGCAGGGUCCUUAGGAAAACUAAGAUAUAUUAAGGCCUCCUUGCAAUAGAGAACCGGAACAAAGCAUUAACACAUGGUGAAUACAUGAACUCCUCAAAUUAUAGCCAUUCCCGGAGAGUAUCCCAAUUAUUGUCACUUUGGGGUCUACGGAUCAGAACAAUAACAAGUGCAUAUAACUAGCAGAUAGGAUCUGGAACUCAAAUAUAUUCAUGAAAACAUAGAAGGUUCGGAUCUGAAAUCAUAGUACUCGGGCCCUAGUGACAAGCAUUAAGCAUAUAAAAGUCAUAGCAACAUCAAUCUCGGAACAUAGUGGAACUAGGGAUCAAGCCCUAACAAAUUGACUCGAUUACAUGACAAAUCUCAUCCAACUCCAUCACCGUCUAGCAAACCUAGGAAGGAAUUACUCACUCCUAGUGGUGAGCAUCACGGAAUUGUAGUUGAUGACGACGGUGACGAAUCCUCCUCUUGGGAGUCCUAGACGGACUCCAGAUCAGCUCUCCCGAUGAAGAACAGGAGGUGACAGUGGCUCUGUCUCACAAAACAUGAUGAAACUUUCUCUCUAAUCUUUUUCUCUGUGAGACGAUAUUUAUGGAGUAGGAAUGAGGGCAAACGGAUGCUUGUGGGGCCCACGAGCUCACAAGGCGCGCCCUGGGGAAGUGGGUGGGCGCGCCCCCUGAGCUCAUGGUUCCUGGGUGGCUCCCUCUAGUAGGUCUCUUCGUCAAUACUUUUCACAUUUUUUAGAAAUAAUCUCUGUAAAUUUUCAGCCCAAUCCAUGAGCUUUAAUUUCCGCACAAAAAUAACACCAUGAAAAUUCUGCCGAAAACAAUGUCAAUCCGGGUUAGUUUAAUUCAAAUCAUGGGAAUUUGUGUCUAAAAGCAUAAAAGUGUUUGGAAAAGUAGAUACGUUUGGGAUGUAUCAACUCCCCAAGAUCAUCUCAUUGCUUGUCCUCAAGCAGAUCAGUUGACAAACUGAAAGUGAUACAUAAAAAACUUCUACAAACUCUUUUGUUCUCAUUAUUGUAUAUAUGCUUAAUUAGUCUUCAAGUUCUCAGCAAAGUUUAUGAACUAACCACACGAAUGAUAACACUUAGGUCUCAUUUUUACUCAUGACAAUAACAUAACCAACUAAUGAGCAAUAAUAAGAUAUCUCGUAUGCCAACAAUUUGUCAAAAUAAUUAUGAUAUAGUAUGAUAACACCAUAUCUCGUUAGACCUUUCUGAGACCGCAAAACAUAAAUGCAGAGCACCUCCGAGGUUCAAGCAGUAACUAAACAUUAUAAUUCAGGGUAGAAGAGAUACAAUCAUUGUCACAUCCAACAUUGACCCGACUCAAUGCAUAAGACUGAUAGUAGCACUCUUAGGAUUGGGGCUUUAAAUGAGAAGGUGAAGACUCUACUAUAAAAGUGAAUAACAUGAAAUUAGGUAGAUAGGCCCUUCGCAGAGGGAAGCAGGGAUUUGCAUAGAUAAGAGUCCCAAGCUUAAAACAAAGAUGAAUAUAUUUUGAGAGGUGUGUUUUUCCUGUCAACGUCACGAUAAAGGGUUUUCAAUAUAUUCCAUGCUAAACACAUUUAUUUUGGUGUUGAUCCUGAACCUCGUCAGCGGAUUUUGUGUUACGGGUUUUCUGAAAUGAAAAUCCAAAGUGAGGGGCUCCUUGGUCCAUGAAAAUAUUUGAUCGAACAAAUAUGAUUUUUGUUUUGCAUGCCUUCAAGAUUUAAAGACUUAACUGAUGGCUUGGUAUUCUCUAUUUGGAAAUUAUGAGCAACUUACAUUUCUUUAGUUGUAUAAACAAGUGUGCGAGCUGAGGGUACCUCAGAUGGUUAGGUUUCUUUGUGGUGGAACCAACCCAUCAGAGUUCAAGUUCUAGAAUUGGCACUGAUGUUUGCAUUUCCUGGAUUUAUGUCAGACUUUUCAGUGAUAUUUGUUCAUUGGUUGUGUUAAAAAAAGUCGUAAACACAAGUUCAAUUCCAUCAUUUUCCCGUGUUGCACCAAAGCUGGGCAUAAAUGUUAGCAGUUGAUAGGAUAUAAUUGCUGCAAUUUCUUUUUCUUUUCUUUUGCAAAACAGAAUUUCUCUCUUUUUCUAUCUACCUGGGAUGCACUGCACCUACACAAGAAGCCACACAUACACACCCUAUAGUACAACCUCCAUGCUGGUUUAUUAGUUCUCCUCAUAUUUAGUGUCAUAUUUUGAUUAUGAUUUUAACUAAUAAAAUAUAGGUUAUACACAACACAAAUAAUAUAAUCGGAAACUAUAUUCAAAUACGAAUCCAACAAUAUAAUUUUUGGCGAGAUGCAUUAAUAUUUUAUUAGUUAAAUCUAUGGUCAAAAUUUAGCGCAAAAUACAAAGGGGACCAAUAAACCAGGACAGAGGUAGUAACUAGCUAAAUGUCCACGUGUUGCCAUGGAACAAUGAAAAAUCACAGUUAUCAAUAUAAUUGUUCCAAAGUGGAUAUGAGUUAAUGUUUUCAUUCAUUUUGCAGAAAUAGAUUCUCUCUCUAGCUCAUUUCAUUUUUGGCACCACCCUCUCUUGCAAGAGGACAGAGCAAAUAUAUUUCAAGUCACCCCUCCCCCUCCUUCACUUUCAUUCUCAUUGCCAUGUCUAAAGUCUAAACCAUCUUCUACAAAAAUUGUACUUCUAUAGAUUAUAUUUCUUUACUGAAUCAUAAUAUUCUUUUUGAUCUCAUUUUUUGGCUGUUGUAUAGUUUAAUAAAUAGUAAUUUAAUGUUGGAUUACAACAAUGAUUUUGACCGGCAUAAAGUAAAGAAAAACAAAUAUAGUAACUGAAGAAACAAGAAAACAUUGUUCAUUCGGUCUGGCCUAUUCUCCACGUCAAAUCUUAUUUAACGGCGACAAAGGACUGAAAGACAUAAAAGGAAACAAGUGUGUUUAAGGGAUCAUUGGCCAUUGCAUUUUAUUAGAUUUUACAAUCAUGGUGACAAGUAAUUAGCUUAAACUGAAACAGUAGCAACAAAGCACUAAAGCAAAGUUUAACGAAUGAUAAUCCAAAUGUGUUUUGUCUGUCCUUUGCCAUUGACGUUUUUUGCCUCUAAGUGUAUUUGAAUUAGCAUUGGCAUUUUAUAACAUAUACUAUCUGUAGAGUGCCUCUACUGAAGAACUGAACUUGACAACCGAGACUAUAUAGAAGAUAGAACAUCUCCCAUCGGGCGCGCCUAUAUCUCGCCGUCAAUGAGUCUGGCUUCGGACUCGCCGAAGAGGUGAGCGAGCUGGGCCGGCCCACGAGCGUGGGAGGCCAUAAAGUUUUUUCCUGUUUUCCCCCUUUUUAUUUUCUUUUGUACUUUUGUUUAUACUGUAAAAUAUUCUAAAAAUAUAUAUUACAAAAAAAAACUCUCCAUUUUUUUGUGAAAAAUGUUGAACAAGUAUUUGAAAAAAUGUUGAGCGUGUAUAAAAAACAUGUUGAACAAUUAUUUAAAAAUAUUGAAUAAGUAUUUGAAAAAUGUUGAUCAAUUAUUUGAAAAAAUAUUUAAACAAGUAUUUGAAAAAAUAUUGAUAAUGUAUAUAAAAAUGUUGAACAACUAUUUGACAAAGGCUGAACAAGUAUUUAAAAAAUGUUGAACAACUAUUUGGAAAAAUGUUGAUCAUGUAUAUAAAAAUGUAGAAUGAAAAAAAGAAACAAAAGAAAAACAAAAGGUUGAAAGCCGAAAAAGAAACAAAAUAAACGAAAGAAAAAGGGAAAUAAAAAAACUAAAGAAACAAAUGAAAAACACUGGAGAAGAAAAAAAUACUUGUAUGUAAAACAAUGAAGAAACAAAAGCAAAAUAAUGAAAAAAAGGAGAAGAGUAAAGACAAAAAAGGAAAACAGAAAAAUGGAGAAAACCGACACGUCUUGCUUCAAGUAGGAUGGGUCUUUUAUGUUAUCACGAACCGUUGGGCAGGCGCACUGGCUAGUGGCGCUUCCUAUGUUCGCGGUGACCAGGGAUUGAUGACGGUGUCCUGGUUUAGGGGUACUCACCACGUCGUCUCUCGACCUGGUGGAUCGGGCCGAGGACCCCAUGGCGGUUCACAAUUGGGCCAGUUCGGACAGCCCAUGACAUAUAUGAGGAAGAUUCCACAAGACUUGGUGAUCAAGACAAGGACUCCUCUCCACCGAUGUAUUCGACUAGGACUCUUGUUAUCCUAGGCCUCUGGUACAUUAUAUAAGCCGAGGUUAGGCUAGUCGAUAGAUUAUUAUGACAUUCAUCAUCAUACCAUUAGGUUUUAGACCACAACGUACGAUCUUGAGGUAGAUCAACUCUGUACUUGAUACUCCAUCAAUAUAAACAAGAGCAAAACGUAGGGUUUUACCUCUUAGAGAGGGCCCGACCUGGGUAAAACAUCGUCUCCUUCGUUCCAGUUACCAUUGAUCCAAAAAUCCACAACUCGGGACCCCCUACCCCAAGGUCUGCCGGUUUUGACACCGACAACCGAAAAUGGACUAGCCCAGUAAUGACCACGACCAAGAAAACUUCGAUGCAAGACUUAGACGCAAAGAAAUUCAGAGGUCGGCUGAUUUGGGGGAGACAUCAAGAGGGUCGGAAAUGGGACAAAGGCAUUUUGGUUAGCACAACAAAUCAUUACCUGGCAUAGGCUUAUCCUGCUAGUACUCCGUUGAAGGUACAAACUUUUCCAUUUUCUAUGUCUAAAAACUUAUUCCAUUUUCUACAGAGUUCUACGUUUCCAAAUAAAAAUAAGUGACACUGCAGUACUCUGUUGAAGGGGUACCCUAUGCUAUCACAUCAUGUAUUAUUUAUUCUGAUGUCGAUCCCGGCGGUACAAAAGACAUGCAUGAUUCAUUCAUUGUUGUAGCGCACCUGCAAGUUCCACCCGAAAAUGGUAAAACUGCAUAGCACCCGAAAAUUAUUUGUUUGGUGGUGAUGAGCACGAAAGUGCUUGAGUUCGUGUUUUUCUGGAUAGGGCUUGGUCCACGACAUAACACAUGUUAUGUUGUGAUUUUUUGGACCAAACUUAGUCAAUGGUGGUUUUUGGAUGAACUAUAUGCAUGUUUUAAUUGAAUUGUUUGAUUGAAUGAACUAUAUGUAUGCUUAUGGUUGAUUUUUAUUGUACGUUGAAUUUAAAUCAUGCAAAUGAUUGAUGAAAUACCAUGCAAUUGUCUGGAAUGUAUGUUAAAAAUGAUAGAAGAAUUAGUCAAAAAGAUUUUAGGGAGCUAAAUAUAGGGUUUGGUUAGGUUUGGCCACAAUUUAACUCCUUAAAUCUGAAGGAGUUAAGUUUAGAAAUGCAUAUAAGGAGAUACUCCCUCUGUUACUUUACAUAAGGUGUAUUUUUUUUUUGAUAAAAUUCCACAAUGUAAGGUACAUUUCUUCUAAUUCAUCAAAAAUCCAUUUUUUAGCCCUCUAGAAAAGGAAACUAUCUCUCCCCUGAUUGCAUGUAUCUCUCCUUGUAAAAAAAGGAAAGUAUCUCUCCCGAUUGCAUGUAUCUAUUACUUUUCUAGCCUAAAUGAUUUACUUAUCAGUUACCACUAAUCAAUGAUUUAGCCAAGGUUAAUUUUUUGCUAACUUGUCUAUAGUUAUGUGCCUUGGUCACCGUGUUGAAAUUAUACACCUUACAUAAAUGAAUGGAGGAAGUACAUUAUAAGAGGUUGACUAGAGAUGCUCUUAGUGUUUGUUAAUAAGAUGGCAUAUUGGGUAGUUUCAAAGGAACUCCGAGGGCAGAGGGGUAUGGUGGGUGAAGUGGAGCAUGUGAAGCAAGCAUUUCUGUGCUCCGGUAAAAUGAACUAGAUGCUACUCCAGCUCCAAUCCACUAAGGUAUUGAAGUUGAGGUGUCCCUUUGAAAGGAAGUGGCGUUUUGGCACCCGAGCGCACCUGCUCCCUUUAUCCUGUGCGUUGGAUGUCUUUCCGCGAUCUGUGCCUGGUCAUUUUCUCUGCAAAUACGGUUCUCUUUAAAUUAGGCUGGCAGGUGCAGAUGCGUAUGGUACAGUUGCGUACGGUGGGCCAUAUCUCGCACCGGCGUUAGCAGCCCUGCUGUUGUGAUUCACGUCAUGGAUAGUGUUCCGUCGUACGGGAGCGUCACCAAAAAGAUGAGGCGUGGCACAAGAUUUCUUCUGACGAGUGUUAACUGCCCCUACGAUUUAGUUCACGAUUAAUGCGUAAAUCUAGAACAGAAGAGAACUAUUGGGAGAUUGGAUUAAAUCAGUUAAACAAGGAUAACGCUACCGCUAAUGACGUGGGGAUUACAGACUGAGCUCUCAGCUCCUCGUUCACAGCACCCCACGGCGAAUUUAAGUCUUUUCGUAAAGAAGGAUUGGGGUGGCUAGUGAAGGAUUAGUGCAAACCACGUCCGUAAUCUCCGCCUCCGUAAAUUAAGUCUUUUCGUCAAACAAAUCCCGGCAACUAACAUUGCAAUCGAGAAAAAAUUACCCAAAGCAAACCGCAUAUGCAUAAGUAUAGAGGAAAAUUUCCUUCGCCUAGGUACAAGCUAAGAUUUGUAGCAUACCCGUAAAAUAUUCGGUUUCACUACUGAAAAGCAUGAACAAACAACCAACAACUAAGAGUGUUGAAGUGUUAAAAAGAAGUGUUGAAAGAUUCGAAUGAAAAAUUCAUUACAGAUGAAACAAACUUAUCUAAAUUAUUUGUACUGUACAUAAAUAAUCUGGCAUGAACAAUGGUGGGUGAAAAAAAAAUCAAAACAAAUGAUUUGCGCUGCCUACCACGAUAUGAACAUGCAUGAACGGCCUGGUGAGACACUCGCCUCUUGCGAGGGGCUCGACCUUCCUGGCCGGUCCGUGCAGCCGCCUUGUUGCUCCGACUUGCCGAGUGUCCAUCUGCAAGAUCUCGUCAGUCGCUAAGGACAUGGAGAAUUUCAGUCUGUUAGAAUAUAGAGUUGUAAUCUCAACCUUCUUCCUUCUCGUGUAUUCUACCCAAACUCCUUCUGUCAUAACCUUGUACGUCAAGCCAGGCUUCGGCCACGCAUCAAUAUAAACUACCACGCGGCUCCCUCGAUGGAGUAGGAACGCUUCAUAUCUUUCAUGGUAAUCAGAGCCACCUCUUCUCAUACAUCUAGCCACAAUCCAAAACCCUAGAAACCACACAUCAUCGUCUCCAUGGCUUCCUCCGCCGGCGUCUUCCUCAACCUUGGAUCACCGCCGUCUGAGAAGCUCGCAAGAGGUAAUUUCAUCCUCUGGAAGACGCAGGUCCUCCCAGCCCUGCGAGGCGCUCAGGUGACGGGGCUCCUGGACAACAUCGAUGCCGCUCCACCCAAGAUGGUGGAGAUCACGAAGGCAGACAAGACCACGGCCCUAGAGCCGAAUCCCCUAUACGGACCCUGGAUCGCCAAAGAUCAGCAGGUUCUAUCAUACCUUCUCAAUUCCAUGUCUCCAGAAAUUCUUGCACAAGUUGUUGGGAAAGAUUCCACCUUUGAGCUCUGGACGACGGUGACAAAUCUCUUCGCCUCACAAUCUCAGUCUCGGAUUACUAAUCUGAGAAUCGCCAUCACCAAUACCAAGAAGGGCUCGAUGUCAAGCUCGGUGUAUAUGGCGAAGAUGAAAAGUCUUGGGGAUGAACUAGCUGCUGCAGGUCGUCCCAUAUCUGAUCCGGAGAUGGUGGACUAUAUUCUGGCCGGACUGGACCGCGACUACGACCCCGUGGUGGCGGCGAUCGGCGCUGUCAAAAACAUCAUCACAGCCGACGAUCUUUUUGCCCAGAUUGCUGCCUUUGAUCAAAGGAUGGAGAUGCUAGGCGACUCAUCUUCAGGCGGGUUCUAUUCAUCCGCUAAUGCGGUCUACAGAGGGCGUGGCCAGUCCCGUGGCAGAUCUCGCGGGCGUGGAGGAAGAGGCCGUGGCCGUGGUGAUCGUGGUGACCGCGGUGACCGACAGUCGUCUUCCUCCAAUGGAGGCGGCGGAUUCAGAGGCCGUCCUCGACAGCAACAGCAACAGCAGGCUCGUGAGCAACAGCAUGACUAUCCAGAAUGUCAGAUAUGCUACAGACACCAUCCAGGAGGUGCACGAGUUUGCUGGUGGCGUUAUGAAGAAAACGACCAGGAAGAAAAGCAAGCGCAUGCAGCCUCCUAUGGCGUGGACACCAACUGGUACGCCGACAGUGCAGCAACAAACCACAUCACAGGUGAACUUGACAAGUUGACGAUGCGGGAGAAGUACAAUGGAGGCAACCAAAUUCGCACGACAAGCGGUUCUGGUAUGGAUAUCACACACAUUGGCAGUUCAAUUGUUAAAACCCCCGUGAAAAAUUUACACUUGACCAAUGUCUUGCAUGUUCCUCAAACCUCUAAAAAUCUUGUUUCCGUUCAUCGAUUCACUCUUGAUAACAAUGUUCUUAUUGAGUUCUAUCCUUAUUUUUUCUUGGUUAAGGACUUGAAAACAAGGAGAGUCAUUCUUAGAGGACGGUGCGUGGGAGGACUCUACCCACUCAUAUCAUCAUCAUCAUCAUCAUCUUCAUGGUCCAAUAAACAAGCAAAUAUUGUCACCGAGCUAUCUACAUCAAGGUGGCAUAGUCGUUUAGGUCAUCCAUCUUCAGUCAUAGUUAGAUAUGUUCUUAGCAAAAAUAAACUCUCUUAUGAGCCUAGUAGUGAGUUAGUUUGUGAUCCGUGUCAACAAGCAAAAAGUCAUCAAUUACCUUACCCAAUUUCUACUAGUGUGUCUACUGCCCCUUUACAACUUAUCUUUUCAGAUGUAUGGGGGCCAACUCCUAUUUCAGUUGGUAGAUUUUCCUAUUAUGUAAGUUUUAUUGAUGACUAUAGUAAAUUUACUUGGAUUUAUCUGUUGAAAAAGCGAUCUGAUGUAUUCCAAGUUUUCCUCAAUUUCCAAAAUCUUGUUGAACGCAAACUGAACUCUAAAAUCAUUGCUAUGCAAAGUGACUGGGGUGGUGAGUAUGAAAAACUAAAUUCUUUCUUUCAAAAGCUUGGCAUAUCACACCAUGUAUCUUGUCCUCAUGCUCACCAACAAAAUGGAUCCGCUGAAAGAAAGCACCGUCACAUAGUUGAUAUGGGGCUUGCCUUGUUAGCAAAUGCUUCCAUGCCGCUUAAAUUUUGGGAUGAAGCAUUCUUAACUGCUACAUAUCUCAUCAACUUGCUUCCAAGUAAAGUUAUCAAAUUUGAAACACCCAUUACACGACUUCUUGGUGUCACACCCAACUAUACAUCUCUUCGUAUUUUUGGUUGUGCCUGUUGGCCCAAUCUUAGGCCUUACAACACACGCAAACUCGCUUUCCGCUCAAAACGGUGUGUCUUUUUAGGCUAUAGCCCCAUGCAUAAAGGGGUUAAGUGCCUUGAUGUUCCUACUGGUCGGGUGUAUAUAUCCAGAGAUGUUGUAUUUGUUGAGUCCGUGUUUCCCUUUGCAUCCCUUCAUCCUAAUGCUGGUGCACUUCUCCGCAAAGAAAUUCUUCUUCUUCCUUCACAUCUUCGGUCUUUUGAUCAUGGGGGCGACAACAAUUGUACUAACCAAUGUGAUGAUAUUCCUGCUGGUACUAGUCUUUCUCUUAUGCCUGUGCAGGUCCCUGGAGAAAACGGUGCUCAAAAUGACCAAGAUCUCGAAAAUAUGGCUGGUUUUGAUCCUAUAUUUCAUGCUGAGGAAGGAGACGAAGCUGGCACAGAUGACGAAGAAGAUCUGGCGGCGCCUGCCACCCCUGCACGCGCGCAGAUCUCGGAUCACGCGACCGCAUCCGCCUCGGAUCAAGCCCCUGAUGGCUCCAGUCCUGGAUCCAGGGCGGGCCACUCCCGUGCUGCCGCGUCAGCUUCAGGCGGGACCAGCAGCGGGGCCGAAUCCCCCUCGCCCCGCGCGCCAGCGUCAGACGGGACCAGCGGCGGGACCAGAUCCUCUCCGCAUCACGCGCGCCUCCAGUCGUGGCCGGGUGGCGGAUCCUCUGCGCCAGUGCCUGCAGGAGGGGCAGCCACACCAGAAGCCACAGGAUCCCCUGCGCAUAUGACGACAAAUCAGUCCACUGCAUCAGCAGAUUCUCCUGGAUCUUUUGUGGCAAGUAUACCAGCGGUGCAGCGAGAGGUUUCUUCACGUGUUAUGACCCGGCUACAGAAAGGUAUACGGAAUCCUAAAAUUAGGAAAGAUGGAACUAUACCAUAUGGAAUGUUGUGUAUUUCAGGAGAACCAACAUCGUUGAAGAAUGCACUUGAUGAUCCUAAAUAGAAAAAGGCAAUUGAUGAGGAGUAUUCUGCGCUCAUGAGGAAUAAGACUUGGCAUCUUGUACCAAAUCAGAGAGGUAAAAUUAUUAUUGAUUGCAAAUGGGUGUAUAGAAUUAAGAAGAAGGCAGAUGGCUCCAUUGACAGAUAUAAGGCACGUCUAGUUGCAAAGGGCUUUAAGCAACGUUAUGACAUUGAUUAUGAGGACACCUUUAGUCCCGUUGUGAAAGCUGCAACUAUCAGACUUGUGUUAGCCAUUGCUGUAUCCAGAGGAUGGAGUUUAAGGCAGCUAGAUGUACAGAAUGCGUUUCUGCACGGUGUUCUAGAAGAGGAAGUGUUUAUGAGACAACCACCUGGGUAUGAGAGUAAGAAAUUGCCACAGUAUGUCUGCAAGCUUGAUAAAGCACUCUAUGGUCUAAAACAAGCACCCAGAGCAUGGUAUUCCAGAUUGAGCUCACAGUUAAAAUAUCUUGGCUUUGUUGCUUCCAAGGCUGACACAUCCUUGUUUAUUUAUAACAAGGCAGGAGUAGUCAUUUUUGUGCUAAUAUAUGUUGAUGAUAUCAUAGUUGCAAGUUUUUCACAAAAUGCUACUAAUGCUCUUUUGCAUGAUUUGAGCUCAGAGUUUGCCUUGAAGGACCUAGGUGAUUUGCAUUUCUUCUUGGGUAUUGAAGUCAAGAAAACUCAAGAUGGUAUUGUGUUAAAUCAGGAAAAAUAUAUUCUUGAGCUUCUGUCUCGCAUGGGGAUGAAAAAUUGCAAGCCAAUGUCUACACCUUUAUCCCCCUCAGAAAGUCUCUCAGCAUAUAAGGGUGAGCCACUUCAAGAGGAGGAGAGUACAAGGUAUAGGAGUACUGUGGGAGCACUACAAUAUUUAACUCUCACACGUCCAGAUAUCUCAUUUGCUGUCAACAAGGUUUGUCAAUAUCUUCAUGCACCUACUUCUGCACAUUGGUCAGCUGUCAAGAGGAUUGUGAGAUAUGUGAAACAUACUAUGGGAAUAGGACUUCAUUUCAAACGGUCUAAUUCUUCUCUUGUGAGUGCAUUCUCUGAUGCUGACUGGGCAGGAUGUAGUGAUGACAGAAGAUCAACUGGAGGUUUUGCAGUGUUCUUUGGAUCUAAUCUUAUCUCCUGGAGUGCUAGAAAGCAAGCUACUGUGUCACGCUCAAGUACAGAAGCUGAAUACAAGUCUUUGGCUAAUGCAACUGCUGAGAUCAUUUGGGUUGAAUCACUUCUUGAAGAAUUGGGAAUCAAGAAGAAUCGUAUCUCAUGUUUAUGGUGUGAUAAUUUGGGAGCAACAUAUCUGUCUGCAAAUCCAGUGUUUCAUGCCAGGACAAAGCACAUAGAAAUUGAUUUUCACUUUGUACGAGAAAGGGUUGCGGCAAGGAAACUUGAGAUUCGAUUUAUUUCUUCUAAGGAUCAAGUGGCUGACGGUUUUACAAAAGCACUACCAGCAAGACCAUUUGAAGAAUUCAAGAGUAAUCUUAACUUAGGUUAGUUGAGAUUAAGGGAGGGUGUUAGAAUAUAGAGUUGUAAUCUCAACCUCCUUCCUUCUCUUGUAUUCUACCCAAACUUCUUCUGUCAUAAUCUUGUACGUCAAGCCAGGCUUCUGCCACGCAUCAAUAUAAACUACCACGCGGCUCCCUCGGUGAAGUAGAAACGCUUCAUAUCUUUCACAGUCGUCACCACCACGUUGGAUGUGGUUAGAGUCGAGGAGGACGCCGGAUUACAUGCUCAGGCAACCUAGUUCGUGGGAGAUGCCAGAUCCACGAGCUCCCGCCGCCGGAGUCGAGGUAGACCACGAACGCGAGCACUCCGGUAGCUAGGUUGAGAAAAAAUGACACUCCAUGCAGCAGUUUUCCGCUGCGCUAGCAUGUGCUGGCAUGCUCUCCGCCUCCGACCACCCAGUUUUUCUCACUCGCCGAAACAUCGAGAGGAUGAGAGAGAUUAAGUAACCAGAAGUUGGAAGGAGAGAGACGUCUGGAAGGAACGCAUUUACUAUCCGUGGGACCCUGCUGGCCUGCAUGAGCUCCACAAUCCACAUGCACACAUCUAGUCCAGGACGGCAACAAACGUCUGUUCCCUCGGCUCUUUACACUAUUUUGACCCUUUCAAGAAACUUUCACACAAAAUGAACUCCACACAAAAUUAUUUCACAAUCUGAUCCUUUUAGUAACGCCACUGAUCAUGGCAUUUCAUCUCUAUUUAAAAACGCCGAGCAAGCUAGCGUCGCUGGUCUAAUCGAGACGCUACGUGGCAGGGUAGAAACGCCAAAGUAUGCUGCGUUGCUGGAAACGCCAAGGGAGCCCGACGUUGCCGCCCAAGCAUGAAACGCUAAGGGAUUUGGCGUUUCUACUAGCUUGUCCAUAUUGCCAUUUAUUUAUGAAGUGAAGCAACGCUAGCUAGCUCGGCAUUUCUAAAUAGAGAAGAAACGCCACGGCCUGUGGCGUUACCAAAAGGGUCAGAUCGUGAAAUGGUUUUGCCUGGAGUUUAUUUUAUGCGAAAGUUUUCUGAAAAGAUCAAAAUAGUGAAAAAGGCCUGUUCCCUCGCCCUAAACGGGCUCCUGUUAAUUAUUGCAGGUCAGAUGUGGGCCACAUGCCAGUAGAAGGAAGACCCCCGUCUGAAAAUAGGACCCUAAUACAACAAGCAGCGAGAAUCGCAAGAACAUUGAUCGGCUUAGAUAUCGGGAUUAGAUGUGUUCGGGAGCCAAAUGGGAUUUCCCUGUUUGAAACAACUCUACUAAAAUCUGGAGCAGUCCAAAGCCUACCCUCAAUCCGAUAAGGACCAAGCAGGAGCAUAUCCUAUAUGUGAAGGUCGACCAUGUUACUGGAUUGACGGAUCUAGUUUGUUAAAUUUACUCGAUGACUAGGGCUCCGAGGCACUAGUCCUUAAGGGCACGUGUAUGAAGACUUCUCAGCUAUAAUCGACAAGUUCAGGCCAGCUCCGACAAGCAGCGCGUGAGCGGCUCGUUCUGACGGUAGUGGUUGCUUGAUGGUCCAAGAACGUCUAUGUAAUUAUUAUUAUUAUUGGGAUGCUUUGUACUUUUGGUGAGCUACUUUUAAAAAAGACUCUGAAUUCAAUUAACUGUGAUAGACCUUCAUAAUCGUUUGCCCUUAAUGUUCAAAGUAUGGUUGGUUGAAUGGUGGAAACUUAUGUCUACUCGUAUAUUUGUAGUAGUUAGUCCAAAUAGAUGUUGGUUUAUCAAGGUUCCAUGAAAACAUGAUGCAUACACUGCACUAGGAUCAUUUUAUAUCUUCUAUAGCCAAUUCAUCAUGAGCUAGCACACCAUAAAGACUUGGUAAAAAAGUACAAAUACAAAGACACACAUAUGCGCAAUAUCUAUUAAGCAGUGACAGCGAUCUUCAUGCCUUGCUGGC
rnacentral:lncRNA from 1 species